rnacentral:lncRNA from 1 species
GAAUGGUCACAUUUGGUGUAUCAACCAGGCCCUGUUCUUCAGCUUUCUUGAGCCGUUUCACCUCUAUUAAUGCUGCAAUUACCAUUGAAAUGAUGUAUAAAAACAUCCCCGUUCCAAUUCUCUGAAGCAUUGAUAUGCCAGAAGGUUUCCUGGUUAAAUGUCUUGCAAUAGGAACCAAAAUGCGGUCAUAUAUGGGAAUAAAGAUGACAAUGGUGGUGGUAUUCAAGGAUUGAAGUGAAGCAGCCGGUAUGUCAAAACCCAAGCCAGUUGAUCUAUCCAUAGUAAUUCCUUGCUUGGUAAAGAAAGUGGAUAAUUGUGCUGGCAAGAUACCAAACACCAAACUAGUAAUCCAUAUGGGAAACAGCUUUAGAACUGCUUUCGCUUCUUCAACGUCACUGAAGCUACAUGCCUUUCCGUCCUCCUUCGAACAGUCUAGUGUAAGCAAGGCCUUGCUGAGAAACCUGUCACAACUGAAAGAGAGCCAAGUUAUGGAAAUGUUACAGUAGAACUACACCUAUUAAAAUAUUUAUCUGAAUUCAGAACAUUUUUACUUAGUCUAAAGUCUUGAAAUUAGAAAGAAAUUCAUACAAGACCCUCAUUUACAAAAUUCAUUGCUGAGAAAUAUGUGCUUUCCCCCAAUUUUUUUUUCUUUCUUUUUUUUUUUUGAAAAAAAAUUGAAAUGCGCUAAACCUAAUAGUCAUACUUGAACUGAUGAGAACCAUGGUGAGGCAGGGUCUCUCCAGCAACCUCCUCUGCAGUUUUCAGUGAUGGCAUGGUUCUCCAAUUCCUAGUUGCCUCAACAAACACCUUGCCAAUUCUCACAAAUGGGUUUUCCUCAUUGGUAUUGAUACUAUAACGGUAAGUCUUAGUUCCAAGCAAGAAAAGGAGCAGCGCUGCCACCAUGACAAUGCAGGGGAUUCCAAAUCCAAGAACCCAGUUAAGAUUUUCUUGAAUGUAGCUCAAGAUCAAGAAAGCUACUGAAAUACCACUGCAUAGAGCAAAAUACCACCAGUUGAAGAACGAGCUUUUAGCUUUGCACUCCUCUGGAUGUUGUCCAUCAAAUUGGUCAGCUCCAAAAGCCUGGGUGCAAGGCUUGUGCCCACUUUGGCCAACUGUUACUAGAUAUAGAGAAAAAAAGAAUAAGACUACUUGGAACUGGGGAGGAUUGUCAAUGUUUUGGCAGAAGGAAGGGAACAGAGAAGGAAGCAUAGCCGACAGAGUUAACAAGCCUAGUCCCUGCAAUAUGUAGUAGUUCAAGUCAAUGAUAGUAAUUAUUCAAUUACAGCAGAAGAGUUUUCUUGAGAGCCUUUAAGAUUUUUAGUGUUUACAUUAGUCCUUUAAAUGGUGUUCUUCCUAUUAUUACCAAUUUUCUUUGUAAGACUAUAAAUAAAUAUUUAGUGGAGAGAGUUUAGAAUCUGAUGGUGGUGAUUCUUCCGUUAGAUAGUUUAACAGCGCUAGCUAUACUGGGGCAGAUAACUGGAAGCAAGGAACUCGGUUUAGCACUAGAAAUUUGAAACAUGUCAAAAAACAAAUCAUGUUGUUCAUAGAAAAUAACCUGACUUUAUUGAUUGCUAAUUUCAAUAAUGUAAGAGGCUACAAUCAGGGGUGUAAUAGGGCCAGGUUACGCCAGACUUGGGCUUUCAAGGCUUGGGUUGGAUCCAACUCUUUCGUGGCCCUAGUUUGCCUCAGACUACUUAAGCUCAAGCUUCAGCCGAGCUUUAGUUGAUCUGGAACUAAUUCCCAACUAAUCCUAGUUCUAGCCUGAGCUUAGCUCAAUAUUAGGGAACCAGAUUAUCUGGGAAAUGACUACAUCGAAAUCUAGUAGAAGAAUAGAGAAAAAGAGAGAAGACAAAAGAUUUGCAUGGUUCAAUGUAAUUACUUGCAUCCACAAGAAUGGAAGAUCAAAUUCUCUAAUAAACUUAAGAAUUCUUUCUCAAACUCUUUAUCUAUAACCUAAUACACUAUGUCUAUUCCUGUUCACUCUUCUCACGAUUCUAACACUUUGACAACUCGCUUUUUUUUUUUUACUUUCACACUAUAAAUCUUAUAUAACGCUACGUAUUUAUGAAGUAUUAUGGGCUAACAUUAAAUAGUGAGUUUCCAAAUCUUAAUCAAAUUAAAAAAUAGUAAUUUAUGCAAACCUAAUAAAAAUAAAAAUAAAUCUUUUGAAUCAAAAUUACUCUUAACAAUCUCUACCUUAACUCAAAUUCUACUACUCCAUAUUUGGUUUAUCUUCUUAAUACCCACCUUUGCACCCUUUAUGUGUAGGUUGCCACCAUUGCACUAUCAAUGAGAGUAAGCAUGUGUCAAGUUCAAAUUCUCAUUAAACUUUAUUUAAGAAAUGUUGUUUUUUCCAUAACUUCAUUCCUUAAAUUGAUCUCAUCCUUAUCCUAAUAAGUACUUUUAGUUUAUGACAGUCUUGAUCAUCUUAUGUUUAUGAUUUUGUCUAAAUUAUUUUUGCUUUUUAAUAACUUCAUUCCUUUUGCAACUAGCCUCAUCCUUAUCCUAGUUAUCAUCCUUAGCUGAAAGAGGAGUCUUAAUCAUCUUAUUUUUAUUCUUUUCAUCUAAUAUGAACAUCUUGUCAUGAUCUUUUAUUCGGACAACUUCUUCAACACUAGUAUAAGACUCUUCAUGGUAUGGCUCCACCAUUAUAACUUCACCUAAAGUUGUCUUCCCAAUUAAGUUGUAUAUAAUUUUUACUUUAUCCCUUCAUAGUUACCAAAGAAUCUUUAUUAAUAUUCACAAUAUUAUUCUUUGUAGAAAAAUCAUAACCCAGAGUAUUUAGAGGCCCUAAAAAAAUCAAACUCCUCAAUUUUGGAGCAUGCUUAACAUCAGACAAUGUCCUCACAAUACCAUCAAACAUCAUGACCUUCAUAGUACCCAUGUUAAUGGCUUUAGAGCUAGAACAUUACCCAUUAGAACAAUACUAACAUGACAUUCCUUCUAGGUGUCAAAACAGUUCUUAUAUUGGCACAUGAGAAUUUAUAAUCUAAAAUCCAAGAAUCACACAAUUUUCACCAACCAUAGUUAAAAAUUAAAGUUUUCAUCAAUGACAUAAGUAGAACCUAAAAUCUCAAAGACUCAUCAUCAUUAGACUCGGGGAUUUAGAAGUUUUUCAAAUCUUUCAAAAUUUGAACAUUAAGUUCAAAGAUAUGAAGAACAACUUUAAAGAAUCUAAGAUUAAACUCGAAGACUUGAAAAUUGAGUUUGAAAAUUUGUAGAUCCAGUUGCAAGAUUUAAAAACAAGUGCAAAGAUUCAAAGAUCAAUUUUGAAGAUUUGAAGAUCAAGUUUGAGACAUCUUCAAUCCAACAUUAAGCAUUGAUGUUCUUAGUGAGCAUGAGUCAGGCUAAUGAAUCCAAGCUUGACAUGCCCAUGUACAAGCCUAGCCUCAGAUAUGCUAAGGUCCAAACCUAGACUCAAGACAUGCCAAAGUGUUGGGAUAGAGCCCUAGAAAGCAUGAAAUGAUGUAACAUAGUUUAGAUUCGUUAAUAAAUGUAUCUAUUUAUGAUUAAUUUAGUUAUCUUUAUUAUCCCUUUUUGCAUUAAUUAAUCUUUAUUUGAGCAUUUGUGUCUAUAUCACUUGCACUGUAUAUGACUUCAAUCCAUUAGGAGUUAUAUAGAAGAUCCAAGUCAUGGAUUCUAUUUAAGGUGAUAAGUGGUUUACAAUCGGUUUAAGGCAAUCCGACAGAGAUUGUAGUGUAGUACCUCAUAAUUGGAGAGAUGACUUAUCUUGAUUAUCAAGAUGAUUUUCCCAUGAUGAGUGUACUAGUGUGUAUGGUUACACAUUAGAUAAAACCUAUGGUAAAUCAUGACAUUAGCUAUUGAGUUUGUACUGAAAUCAACAGAACGUUUUGACCUACAAGUGAGACCUUAAGGCAGUCACAUAUUCACUAUGGAUUGGGUCAUUAUUGAUAGAAGUUGGUGGCAAUAGAUAUUCUCAAUAGAAACACCAUGAUAUCUUAUAGGAUUGAGAUAGUGUGUUAUUUUGAAUGAUUAUAAGACAUGUAAUCAAGAAAACUAUGACUACAGUAAUUUUUUUAGAGGAAUUUAACUUAUACUCUUUGUAAGUUAGAGUAUGUUAGUUGAUCACAUGAUAGAAGGAUAUGUAAAUCAAGGAUUGGAAAGGUAAUUUUAAGAAGUUAAUAAGAUUAUUUGGUUAGAUUACAAACAUCAGUUCAUGGGUGGUCUAUAUAUAGUGGAUAGUAGGUCAUAGAUCCCACAUUGCCUCAUUGUAGUAUCAUAUGAUACUAAUUAAAGUUGACUCUUUUUAGUGAAGUGUUGAGUCAACUUGAAGAUUAGAUUAUAAGGGAUUUUGUGUUUUCUUAUGGGUCCUAGUAAUCCUCACUUGAACUACUAAUUCAUGUUGGCAUGUUUGUAUGAGGGAUUUUGGAUUUAUAGUUCAUAAGUAUGCAUAAGAGCAUUUUGGUAAAAAUAACAGGUUACAAUAAAUCUUAUGAAUAACCUUUCUAAAUUUGGCUAAUUAAUUAAUUAGAGCUAAAUAGGGUUCACUAAUCAUUUAUGACCCAAGUGAACUAGAUUAAGUGACCUAAGCAUAAGUUGGACCCAAGUCACUUAAGCCUAUAAGGAAGUCUAUAUAAACCUCUUUAGGGGUUUAGGGUGAUUUAGACAGAAGUUAGGAUAUGUUUGUAACCUUAAAAAAAUAAAAUAAAAUAAAUAAUAAAAAAUAAAAAAUAAAAUAAGAAAUUAAAAUUUUUUUGAAAAAUGUUAGUGCAAAAAAAAUAAAAAUAAAAAUAAAAAUAAAGAACAAAGAAAAUUUUCCUUGAAAUACAUUAUGACUUAAUCCUUAUUGGGUACAUAGGCAAUAAGGAAAAUAUAGCAAAUUCAGUCAAUGUUUCAAAUAAAAUAAGGUUCUAAUACCACUUAAGUUCUAUUUGUAAACUCUAUUGAUGAAAAAAAAAUUUCUGAAAAUUGUUCACUUUCUACAUGGACCCUUGAAUAACUUUUUAAAAGGGCAAAAUUUAACCUUUUACAAUUUAUCAUAUGCCCUGGGUUUGGUGUGCAUUGGAUUAGGAAUGGCAACGGGGCCGGUUCGGGACGAGUCGCCCCCAUCCCAACCCCGCCCCAUUUAUUCAGAACAAUUCUCAUCCUUGUCCCAUUUAAAAAAUUAAACAGGACGGGACGGGGCGGAGCGGGUAUGAUAAAUUCUCAUACACGCCUUGCCCCAUCCGUUUAACCUUUUUUUAAAAUUUAAUUUAAUUUAUUUUUAAAAUUACUUUUAAAAUUUUUAAUUACAUUAAAAUAAAUAUAUUUUAUGAAUAAUUAAAUUAUUAUAUUUUUUAUAACUUAUUUAUUAAAAAUAUUUUUUUAUUAUCUAUAUAUUAAAAAUAGUAAAAUAAAAAUUAAAUUAAAAUAAUUUUAAAAUUUAAAUUAAAUUAAAUUUUAUAUAUAAUCGGGGCGGGACGGGACGGGAUGGGAUGGGGAAAUACUCGAACCCGCCCCGGGUAUUUAAAAAAAGUCCCAAACCCAUUCAAAACCCGUUUAUUAAAAUUGAACUCCGUCCCAUUAGGGGUGGGGUGAGGAGGGUACCCAAAAAAACCCGUCCCAUUGCCAUCCCUACAUUAGACCUUCCUCUAUUAACAAAAGUGACAAGAACCACCUUCGAGGCAAUUAAUGCCCCUUUAGUUUGUCGAUAUGUGAUGCUCAUUUCACUCCAAAUUUGGGAUUAUGAAAUUGCCCAAGUUACUUUAAAUUAACUUAUAAAUUAAUCUUGUUAAUUAACCUCAAAUUAAACCCUGAAUUUAUCCUAAUUAAUCGCAUAUUAAUUAUCCCCUUGACUAAUUACUAACUCUAACCUAAAGUCUAAACAAAUCCAUAAGAAGCAGCCACAAAUUGGUCCCUUCUAUAUCAUAUUCAUUUAUUCAAAAUACUAAUAGCCGAGUCCCUACCUCCCUUUCAACUAUACUCUCUCUCUCUCUUUUUUCUUUUUUUUUUCUGUUUACUACAAUAAUAAGGAUUGGAAAAGAAAAAAAAGGACAAAAAGAAAAAGGAAAACCCACCGACAGCAUCUCUUGAUCAAAAUAAUGUGUGUGGGACACUUGUCCUGAACUGAAAGAAUAUAUGGAGUAGAAUAACAUGUAUUAAAGUUGAUUAAUGCUAAGCCGACCAGUCCCAUCAGUAUUUUUGACUUUUUUAUACAAUGGAAAGAAUAAUAACGCACAACUUGUGGGCUAGUGGACAACGAUUCUAAAUCUACAUGUCUUAUUCCAUUCAAAAAAAUCUCCAAGUGAUAGGAUUGUGAUCGACUUUUACAAUAGGUACAUAUUAACACACCUACUCUUACAAUGUAAAAAGAUUUAUUAACGAUAAUUCUCUCAACAACUACAUAGACUACCUUUGAUUUCUAUAUGUAAAAUAAAAGGUAUACUAUGACCAACCACCAGAUAUCACAAGAAUAAGAUAAAGAGUGAGACAAACCAGGAUGUAGAGAAGAGAUGCAAUAACAAUAGUGCGAUAUCGACCCAGAAAGGAAUCUGCAACGAAUGCCCCAAGCAAAGGGAGUAGACACCCAGCCCCGCUAAAUGUAUUAACGUUCUGGGCAGCCACGGCCAUGGACUGCCCCAGUGGCCCCGUAAGAUAGCUUAUAAGAUUGAAUGAUAUGCCAUAGUAAGCAAUCCUCUCCGCCAGUUCCACACCUAUAGAUAUAAAAACUGCUCUUAAUUCCAUACAAAACUAUAGGAAAAGUUGUUUGGUUUGUCAGAAAAGCAAAUUCCACGAGCUUGCUGGGAAGCAAAUGAUUUCCCAGUAGAGCUUACCGAUGAUGAAAGAGGCAGACCUCCAACCACCAGAUCUAGAUCUCUUGGCUGGAACACCUCUGUAGUCCACAACACCCUCCACGGCGUCCUCAAGGAAUGGUGUCUCGGAGUCUAAAGAGAUGUCCGAGAUGGCCAUGUCUCGGCAAACCAGAGAUACAAAAGGGAGAUUUUUUUACCUUUUCUUUUGCUUCUCUUUUUCAAAUCCUGUGGGCAGCUGUGUUUGAGGGUUAUGCUUCUUGUAUUUUAGUUUAAUAGCUACCUACGAAGUCAGAACACGAUUAGCGACUAUGCCAAGCCAGUUUUCUCUUUAACACUUUAAAAAAAAAUUUAAAAAAAAAAGAAAAAAAGACACUAAUUGACAAACUCCACCAAACAAGAUUCUUUUUCUCUUUUGAUUUGCCAUGCAUGUGUUACCAUAUUCGUUUAAGUACCAUAAACCUCUGAAUUUGACAAUCUGAUUUAAUUUGACAAUUUGGCUAUUUGAUUCACUUCUAAUGGACCACUUUUUAUAAAUAGGUUAUUUGAUUAAAAGGGCCAGUGAAACCCAAUUUUUUAAAUUUAACCUUUUUUUUUUUUUUUUUUUUUUUUUUUUUAUAAAAAUACCCUCGUUUUUUUUUUUUUUUGUAAAAAUAACCUUUUAUUUUAAAACCUAUAUCUAAACACUUGAAAUAAUAAAGGGCAUUUAUGUUAAAAAUUGGUUACUUUUUAAGAAAAAAUAUAGAAAAUGCUAGUUUCAUAAUUUGGGGAUUAUUUCAUCAUUUCUAACCAAAUAUUUCUUGUAAAUAUAUUUAUCAAUAAUCACUUAUUAAGGCCUCUUUUGAAAUUGAUUUUAGGUCUCCUAGAAUCACUUUUACGGUUUUACCAUAAUUUCUUUCCUAAUAAUUUGUUUAAUAAAAUAAAUAAAAAGUUAUUCUUGAACUAUCAUUCUUGAGCAAUGUUGUGCUGAUGUGAUAUAACCAAUCUUUCAUAUUUUGUGAAAUGACAUAACAAUGAAUGGAUAACCAUAUUAUAUCAUUAUGUUGACAUGAUACAAUUGUUAGAGUUUGGUGACCCAAAUUCUAUUUGGUCCAACUCGAAAAGCUUGUGUGAAGUUAUAAUUAUGAGAUUUUUUUUUAGGGUCUAUGGUGGUAGUAGAGGGAUUAGGCGGCUUAAUCCCAUAGUAAUGAUGUAUAGUUAUAUAUAUAUAUAUAUGUGUGUGUGUGUGUGUGUGAUGAUGAUGAUGUAUAGUUUUAGAGUUAUGAUGAUGAUUAUACUUCUGUUGUAACCGCUCACAACUCUUCCCUCUUAUACCAAUUUUAUGACAGAGUGAAUCUUCUUCUCCUUUGUCAAUAGUUUUUCCCGUUUAAGAUUUUUUUACGUAAAUCUGUGUUCUUAUUCUAUUUUUUUUAUUAUUAUCGUCUAUUCUCGUUAUUUUGUAACAUACAUUAAUGUACAUCUUUUUGUAGCAAUUUGAACCACAUUGAUAGCAUAGUUUUAAGAAGAUUAACGAUAACUUUUUGUAAGUAAUUUUCCAAGCAUUAGAGUUUUUUAAUUUACUUUGAUUCUUAUGUCUUCAAAUAAUUUUCUUUCAAAAUUUCCUUACAUAUUUCUUUUUUCUUGUCCUCUCCAAAACUUUUUUUUUGGAACCUAUAUUUUAUACCAUACAUUAUAAAAUAUAAAUGAAAAAACUAUUGUUUCAAAUAUAUAUAUUUAAAUUUAAUUUAAAAUAUACAAAAUGAUAAAAUUCCUUAAAAAAUUUUAAAAUGAAAAUAAUAAGAAUUAAUUUUUUAUGUCAAAAUCUCUCUUCAUUUCUUCCUUUGCCUCUUGAACUUGCUUCCUUCAACCUCCAGAACUCCCCUAUUGCUUUGAGACUUAAACACAUUAGCCUUCAAAUGUAGGCUUAGAGGGUGUUUGUUUUUUUGGCUUUUUACUGAAAGCAAUUUGUUUUCAGAAUUUAGGUUGUUUGUUUUUCUACUUUUUCAUGACUUAUUAUAAACUUUUUAUUAAAUAGAAAAAUCCAAAAUAUUUAGCUUUUUCUAAAUAGAAAAAAUAACAUAUUGAUUUUUCUUUACUUUUUAAUACUUAAUAGAAAUAAAAUACUAUAAAAACAAACAACCUAAUAUUUAACAUUAUUAAGCAUUAAGGUUCUAUUUAUAAUUAAGUAAAAAAAAAAAAACACCACCUUAGUCUAUAUUUCAAUUAAGAGAAACUGAAUAACACUUCAAAGUUAUACAAAAUUUAUUUCUUUAAGCGUGAGAAAACCUUAGUUUUUAGUGCUAAUAAGAGAGUGGAUUAGUGACACCUUUUAGAGGAUGUUUAUUUUUUGAGUUUUUUGCUCAAAACAAUUUGCUUUUGAACUUUUAAGUUGUUUGUUUUUCUACUUUUUCAAAACUUAUUAUAAUUUUUUUACCGAAUAAAAAAAAUCAAAAUAUUUGACUUUUUCUAAAUGGAAAAAAUAACAUGCUGAUUUUUGUUUACUUUUUAAAUAGAAAUAAAAUAUUACAAAAACGAAUAACCUAAUAUUUAACACUAUUAAGUAUUAUUUAGUUUUAAGUUCUAUUUAGAAUUAAGUAAAAAAAAACAAACAAACAAACAACACUUUAGUCUUAAAUAUGAUCAUGAGUCCAUUAUUAAUAUAAUACAUUCCUUUUAUUAGUUCAUAUUUGAACAUUUCGUUUCUUGUUAGUUGCAUGAUGUAUUUUUUUAGAGUCCAUUAGAGGGGGGGAUUAAUAUUUGUGUUUUCCUAUUGACUAUCCAACUAUCUAAGGGGGUUUGUUUCCAUUUUGAUACAAUGUUUUUGUGAAAAAAUAGGUAAUUUGAUUAAGAGUGUAUUUGGUAGUGAUAUUAGGAAGUGUUUCUAACUUUUCUAAUACUUAAAAAAUUUUGUCUUUCAAACAUUAGAAAGCAGUGUUUUUCAAAACUGAACCAAUCAUUGAAUCGAAAAAAGUUAUCGGCUCAUGGUUCAUUAGUCAGACCAACGGUCGAAUCGUGAUCGAACCGGUGACGUCAUAAAUAUAUAUUUUAUAUAUUAUUAAAAUUAAAAAAAACAAUAAAUAAAAUUAAUAAAUUCUAUCUAAAUUUUGACAAUAUCUAUUAUGUUUGUUGAGUUUUUUCACAAAAAAUUUUUCCUAGUAGAUGUCAAUCAACCAAAUAUUUUCAAUAAAUUAAAUUUUCAAAGUGCAAUAAAAAAAUAAAAAAGAAUUAAAUAUUAAACAUAUCACUACAAUUAUAAUCAAUAAAAAAUUAAAUAUAAAAUAUCAAAAUUAAAUUUUAAAAAACAAAAAUGGAAGGCAAGGCUCUUUGGGAGGUUUCCAAUGCAGUAGGAGAGCUCUUUGCCGCUGGGGGGAGCUUUCCAGUGCGCCGUCGGGGGUGGAGGGCGACGGGGCUUUGCAAGCAGGGGGUUAGCGACAGGGAUUUACAGUGAUUUGGGGUCGAGGUUGGGAGGUUUCCAACGCACAAAGGGAAGGUGCUUUCCAACACGCGGUAGGAGGAAAGAAGGAUGGGGGAGGGAAGAGGAAGGGCGGGACGGGGUUCCCAACGCUGAAGGGUGUUCCCAUUGAGAUGACGGGAUUUGCAACAUUUUGGGGGUGAGGUGGAAGGGCUUUUCAAUGCACUAUAGGAGUGGGGGCUGGGUUGGGGUGGGGUUCCUAGCAUCGAGGGGUGCUGCCAACGGGAUGAUGCUCCAAGCGACAAUAGAGGUACCUACCGCACGGGGAAAGGGGAAGGAAAAUGAGUUUAUGGGUUCAAAGGGAACUGGUCAAUUCAUCUGAUUCGUUUUUCAGACCGUCAAUUCAAGUGGUCCGAUUCCGAUUCAAUCGCUUUCUGGUCCGUUUGGCCGAACCGGACUAGAAUCGUUAUCUACCGACAGUCGAAUCGGUCGGACCAACCGAUCCAAUCCAGUUUUAAAACUAUGUUAGAAAGACUAAAAACACUUCUUAUAAUCACUCUCAAACAUACUCAAAGAGUCCAUUUAAUAGUACUUCUAGUCAAAGUGUUUUUAUUAGGAAUGUUUUCUUUUAUAGUGCUUUUAUGAAAAACAAUUUUAUGAGAAUUUGGAAAAAGGGUUCUAAUAAUAUUUUUGACUAUCUUGUAUGAGUACAAAAGCAUUUUUAAUCUUAAUAAAUUACCAAAAAAGACAUACAAUUUAAAAAAUGAUUAUAAUUGCUUCAUUACAAAAGCAUUGCUAACAAAUUUUUAAGUAAAAAGCUAGAUUUUUGGAAAAGAGAAUCAUAACUUUGAGGAUGAAAACAUGAAAUUUUUUAAGAAAAAUUGAGAAAUUGGAGAAGGGUAUAUUUUCCCCCCUUUCCUUUUUUUUUUUAUAAUCCAAACACAAGUUACAUCACCAUAGCACAACCACUCCCUUCUGCUUCUUUUUUCUUUUUUCUUACAACUAUUUUGGCUUUCUUUAGAGGGGGCGGUUUCUUCUUCUCCAAUCUACUUUUCCUUCUUCUAAUAUUAUCACCACACUAUCACUAACUUUCAAGCCUGACCAUAGGUUGCACCAUCAUAGCCUCACUUCGACCACAACUAUGGCAGCCACACAUUGGUCUCCCUUCUCCUACUAGUCACCCCACCAUUUUCAUGGUCGCUCAUACUAUUGAUUUUAUCCUCGUUGUUGUCCUCGCAAUGUUCAUUACUGUCACCAUUUAUCUCAGAUCUAUCGCACCACAGGCAACCUCUCCAGGAACACCAUUAUGCACUAUUAAUAGCGCUACGCAGUCAGAUCACCAUGACAAUGCAGAAAACCAUCCUCAACCAUACCAGUGCCAUGCCUCCAUCUCCACUACUAGCCUACACAUAUCCCUCCAUACCACCAAUUGCCUCCAUCACUUAGGAUGGCAAUUUUUUGGGCUAAUCGGGUAAUCUGCCCCGCCUCGCCCCUAUUGAGACGGGUGUGAAAUAUAAAAAAAUGAGUAUAGGUCGGGUAUGGGAAUAUUUUAAAAACCCGAAUCAGGUUUGGGACAGGUAUGGAUUUUGUUCCAACCCUCCCCAUUCUGCUCCGAAUAUAAAUUUACAAAAUUGUCCUUUAACUACUAGUAAAAUGCUAAAAAAACUCCACGUAUAUAUAUAUAUAUAUAUAUAUAUAUAUAUAUAUAUAUACACACUUCAUAUAUAUAUAUAUAUAUAUAUAUAUAUAUAUAUAUAUAUAUAUAUAUAUACACACUUCAUUCUUUCCCAUUUGCCUUAAUUCUGACAACUACUUCUUCUUCUUCUUCUUCUUCUUCUUUUUCUUCUUCUUCUUCUUCUUCUUCUUCUUCUUCCUUUGAUACACUGUCUUUCAUUCUUCCCAUUUGCCCUAAUUCCGACAGCUGCUUCUUUUUCUUCUUCCUAUGAUGCACUGCCUGAAACCCUAUCUCCAAGAUCAAUACCACUUUUUCUUCCUCCCUCACACCAACUAAAAUACUCUGAAAUCAAUUCUAUCUUGCUCUUGGUUUAGCCUCAGAGCCCAAAACUCCUCUAUGGUGAUAUCAAAUUAGUCAUAGACUUCAAUCUCCUUGCCUUAAAUAUGUGCAACACAAUCAUUUAGAGCAUCACCUUGAAGUCUUUGUCCUAGAGCACAACUCAAAAGAAACACAAAAGCCUUUGAAGUAGUGGAUUUGAUGAAAUCUUGGUUCAAAGAUUGGCUUGAAGAAGGAUUCAAAUCCAUGGCUGAUAUUGACCCAUUUUCCCAUUUGCUUCAUUGUUCAUUAUGUUCUCUUGUAAAUUGUUCAGGUGUUUUUUUUUAUUUUUUAUUUUUAUGUGUUGCUUUAAUUUUGUAUCAUUUAAGCUAGCUAUGGGCUUAAAAUUAUUGAUUGUUGUGGUGUUAAUUUCAACUUUGAUAUUAUUUUUCAUAUUUGGUAUAUUAUCAUAAGAUCGUUAUUUUGCAAUGAAAGGAAAGUGCAUUUAGGUAUAAGAUCUACUCAUCACCAAUUAAGGUUAGGGCUCAAUGGACAUUCGAGAUGAGGCGAGGAUGAGGUUAUUAAUUCUUUUGUUAACGGGGAUGGGAACCAAUCAACCUGCCCCAACACGGGUUUGUGCCGGGGAUGGGAAAUAACUAUAUAAUUGAGUGUGGGAAUGGGAUGAGAAUGACCUAUCCCAAACCCGCCUUGUUGCCAUUCCUAUCCAUCACUAUUCCUCAUUUACUUCCUCUCUCUAUUUGACAUCACCAUUGAGCCUACCAUAACCAAAAGUUCAAGCCAAUCAAACAUUAACUCAAGAAAAAGGAAGAAAAAAAAAUUGAUAGUAUAGAGUUCAACCAUGUUGAAUAAGAGUGAUGAGAGCCUUUAGACUAUAGAGUCUCUACUCAUAUGGAGAGAAUAGGAGAAAGAGAAUAGUGAUGGAGAAAAAUAAGAAUGAAAGAAAAAUGAAGGGUAUCUGGCAAUACUUGGGAUAUUUUAGGAAUAUUUGAACAUUUUUAAAAUAUUUUUUCAAAAAAACAAUUUCCAAGUGCUUUUAUAAAAACUACUUCUAAGUGUUUUUAAAAUAUUGGCAAACACCUAUUUUUCACCUUAAAAACACUUUUAAGUAUUUUCAGAACUAGAAACACCUAUAAAAGUAUUAGCAAAUGUGCUCUAAGUAAAUUGAUCAUCAGGGAAAAGGAAAAGGGUGUUUGAAUUAGGUGUUAAAAGGAAGAUAACAAUUAAGUAAAACAUAAAAAGAAACAAUAUGCAAACUCUUUUAUAGUAGUUUGGCACUACAUCUACUCUUCUCAACUACCUAACCAAGUGAAGAUUCUACCAUCAAGGUUUAUAACCCAAGUCUUCAAGCUUUACAAUUGGAUUCACGAGCUCCAAUGGGCACUUACAAUCCCUUCAAGUACUCCACCCACUUGAAGUCUCUUCACUCAAAAUGAGUAAAUAAGGAAUGUUUUACGGUUUCCAAUCCUAGAUACAAGUUUGGCUCACAAUAUAAGUGCACUAUUGGGAUUUGUAAGGAUGAAAUCAAUGCACUUAGAUGAAGAGCUUUGAGUAAGAGAAAGAAGGUUUUUCUAAUUGAAUAUAGUUGUUUUCAUAUUCAUAAACAUUUUAAGACUCUUCACUUUAUAGGUUUUUAGCUUGGGAACCCAAAAAUUCAUAAAAGACCCUCGAUCGAUCUACCACCGGUGGCCUAGUCAUUAGGCAUUAAAUGGUCUACAAGUGAUCGUUGGGGUUUCUAAGCUUGAUUGAAGGUGCGACCGAUCCUUACUACACCUCAAUCAAUUGAGCAUAACCGAUUGAGCUAGUUUUCCUACCAAUUCAAUUGGUGCAAGGCCCCCUUAAUUAGUUGCACUUUAAAGUGCUUAAAAGGACUUGAUUUGAGGUCUCAAACUCUCAAUUACUAGUGUAAUCCUUCUUAAAACCUUUAAAGUAAGUUUAGAAAGAGUUUGGCUUAAGGUUUUGAAUUAAAACAAAGAUUCAUCCACUUUCUUGAUAAAAACAAAGUUUUUAAGCUUAUAUGAGGAUGAAAACAAACUUCAAAAUGAAUGAAAAACAUUUUAGACCUAAGUGCACCAAUAAAUACCAUCUUACAGAUUGCUCUAUGUCACUUUAAGUCUUCAAGUGUUCUAAGUCUUCAUGAUAUUGACUUUCUUUGACAAUUAAUGCUUGAGCUUUCUUUAGAUUUCUCAUUUGAACCUGAAAAUACUACUUCGAUUUAAGUCAUUAGUAAACUUAACCUUGUUUUAUAAUCAUUGAAACUUGGGUACGGGAACCUUUAGGCUAACAAGCUUUCCCUUUUUUUAUGAUGACAAAAGUAGGCUAUCUAGGGAAGUGACUCUCUCUCAAUAAAUGCAUGAAGAAUCAAGUAAAUAAAGCUCAAAUAUACUCAAAAUAAAUGGAAAAUUAAAAGAAAUCUACAUAAGUGCAAGAUCAUCCAUUCAACAUUCAUCCAACUAAGGAAAUCAAGUACCAAUGGAUAUAAAUGACAUAAAUUAGAUAUGAAUAGCAUGAAGUACAUUAGAGAUGAUCAUAAAAUCCAAAGAAAUAUCCAAAAUAUCCAUGAGUGAACUUGAAAAUGAAGCACAUCUAAACAUAUAUAUCCAUAAAAAAACAACCAAUGGAGGAUUGACUAAGCAUAUUCAAAACACUCCUAACUCCCUAAAUAUGCCUAUGUAUGUAAAUAUAUCUCCCUUUUUGGAAACAUAAAAAAAUGGGGCAAAACACUAUAUGGUAAGCUUAAGGCUAGGAAGGUGGAGGUUGAAAGGGGGAGUAGAGGGGUGCCAUCAUCUCCUCAUUCUAAGUAGCAAAGGUUGGAGGCUCCUUAGUGUUGAUCUAGCUUUAUUGUGCAGGCCAUCUUAAACUGAUCAAGCUAAGUAGUGAAGGUUGCCUAGUAUUUGUCCAUGCAAUCCUCGAUAGAAUAGAAUUGAGAAUCAAUAAUCAUAGUAAACUCCAUCUAUGUACUAAGAGAGCUAAUCUAGCAAAAAAUAAAAUAAAAUCUACCCCAUAUGCUGCUCAACUCAUGGAGACUCAUAGGAAGUGGCAAACUUAACAAUAGGAGGUGCGGGCACCUCGGUAAAAGUUUCCUCAAUAGGUAUAUCUAUCUUAGGUUGACAAGUUUGGAAUGAAAUGUCUAAUUUCCUUACCCUUGAUCUCAUCCUCCUGCUAAAUCCUCUCAUCAUGAGCUUCUUAACCACCCCUUUUGUAAACCCAAGACUUAUCAAGUAACCUCUCAAAGUGCAUCUAGUCCAUGUAUUUUGCACUAUAUGUAUUAUAACUGAUGGGUAGUUGCACAUCCUUCUCAAUCUUUAGGUCAAUAUUAAACUCCUUAAAGAUCCUCAUUAGAAAAAUAUUAUUAGGAAAGAACUUUUGACUUACUCUCACAAUAGUGCAUCAUGUUUUGAAGUAUGAUAAACCCAAGAUUGAUCCUCUUGCCAAUUAACAUGGAAUCAAUAAAAUAAAAUAAAAAAAGCCUUAUAGUAUAAGACCUUAUCUUAAUGUCCACCUCAAGGAAUAAAGAUAUAGUUGAUCAUGUGGUAUAGAACUCAACUAAUCAUGGUAAGUGUUAGGAUAGAACUCUUAAAAGUAUAACAUAAUGUAACAAAUUUGGAAUUUAUUAUUCAUUUAAUAUUAUUCCAAUUUCACUUUUAUCUAUCAUUCUUCCAUGUAUUAUACUUUAUGACUAUUUUAGCCUGACAUCUCUUACAUUGUAUAUGACUUCAGUGCAUCAGGAGUUGUACGGAAGAUCCAACUUAUAGACUCCUUGCAAAUAGAUUAUUCGUUCAUAGCUAGUUCGUGGACUUAAGCAAUUCAUUUAAGGUUAUAGUGCACUACUAAUUAGAGGGGUGAUUGGUCUUAACCAUUGAGAUGGGGUCUUAUGGUAAGUGUACUAGUAUGUAUGAUUACAUAUUAGACAAGACUUACAGUGAAUUAUGACAUAAGGUUAUCUAAUAGUCAUGAGUUCAUAAAAAUACUAUGUCUAUAAAAGCAAGACAUAAUGUAACAAAGUUAGACUUUACGUUUCCCUUGUUAUCCUUUUUAUGCAUUGAUAUUGAUUUGAGCAUUCAAGAUCAUAUCACUUGCAUUGUGCAUGACUUAACUAUAUUAGGAGUUGUAUAAAAGAUACAAAUUAGGGGUUCCUUGUAAGAUAAAUUUUUCACAGCCAGUUCAUAAAUUUAGGCAAUUUGGUAGGACUAUUGUGCAAUGCCUCCUAAUUGGAGAGAUAAUUUGUCUUAGUCAUCAGGAUGGGUUUCCCAUGGUGAGUGCACUAAUAUGUAUAGUUACAUGUUGGAUAAGACCUACAAUAAACCAAAACAUAAGGCUAUCAAGUUGUCAUGAUUCACAAGGCUACUAUGUUGCAUGGACUCUCAACCUUAAGAGGAUAUUAAGCAUAUGCUGAAAUCAACAAGUGGUUUUGACUUAUAGGUAAGACCCUAAAGUGGUCAUAUAUUCUCUACAAAUUGGUUCACUAUUGAUAAAGUUGGUGGCAAUGGAUAUUCUCAAUAGGUGUUCUUAAUGCAAUCUAAAUGUCCCCUUAGGUGAUCUAAAGGACAUGUAAUCAUAAAAUCUAUAACUGCAAUAAUUAUUUUAAUGGAAUUUGACAUAUAUUACUUGAAAUUAAAAUAUAUCAGUUGAUCAUAUAAUAGGGGGAUCUGUAACUCAAGGAUUGGAGAGGUAAUCUUAAUGGGUUGAUAGCCCUACCUAGUUAAAUUGCAAACAUCUGAUCAUAAGAAGUUUACAUGCAAUAGAUAGCAAGUCACAAACUUAAACUUUAACUAGUUGUGAUUUCAUAGGAUGCUAAAGGGUAGUUGACUUUCUUUAGUGAAGUGUUAAAUUAAUUUCAAAAUUGGAUUCUGAAGGAGUUAGUAUUUUCCUAUGGAUUCAAGUGGUUCCCACUUGAGCUUCUAAUACAUGGUAGCACAUUUUUAGGUUCAUAAGUGUACGUAAGGGUGUUUUUAGUAAAAAUACAAGGUUGGAUUAGAUCUUAUAAAUUAAUUUUUUGGAAUAGGCUAAUUAAUUAAUUAGAGCUCAUCAAGGCUAAUUAAUUAAUUAGAGCUCAUCAAGGCUAAUUAAUUAAUUAAAACCUAAAUGAGCUGGAUUAAGUUACCCAAGGGCAAUUUGCGCUCAAGUCACUUAAGCCCACAUGGAAACCUAUAUAUGCAAACCUCUUUAGGAGUUAGGGUUCACUUCUUCCUGCUCAGUUUUUUCACAUUUCAUAAAGAAACCCUAGCCACCCUCAUAGUAGAGAGAGAAGCCCACCACUCUCUUGUGUUGAGAACCAUGAAGAGAGAGAUUAGGUGGAAGACUCUUGCGUAGAUGAGUUCUACGAUGACUAUCACAAUUUUUAGAAUCUUUACAAUAUGAGAUUUAAUUUGGGAACAUUUAGAUCACAAGUAUGGAACUUUUAAUCUCUAGAUUUGUAUUCUAUUAUGGUUUUGAUAGCCAUUAUUUUCCAUUACAUUAGAACCCUGCAUGGCCAAGGAACUGUCUUACUCCUUUUACAGUUGUUGGGGAUGGUAAUUUAACAAUAAGCUCUACCUUUGCUUUAUCAAUUUCAAUGCCUUUUUCGGAGAUAAUAUGGCCAAGGACAAUUCCUUGACGUACCAUAAAAUGGCAUUUCUCUCAGUUGAGCACCAAGUCUUUUUCAAUGCAUCUGUGAAGAACCGCUUCCAAAUUGAUUAAGCAUUCCUCAAAUGUACCUCCAUAUACGGUGAUGUCAUCCAUGAAAACCUCCAUAAUUCGCUCCACCAUAUCACUGAAAAUACUCAACAUACAUUUUUGAAAUGUUGCAGGUGCAUUGCAUAAACCAAAAGACAUUCUUCUGUAAGCAUAUGUUCCAAAUGGACAUGUAAAGGUGGUUUUUUCCUGAUCUUCCACAUCAAUUUCAAUCUGAAAAUACCCUAAAUACCUGUCCAAGAAGCAAUAGAACGGAUGGCCGGAGACUCUCUCCAAUACUUGGUCAAUAAAUGGCAAUGGAAAAUGAUCUUUCCUGGUUACAACAUUCAACUUUCUAUAGUCAAUACACACCCUCCAACCUGAAGUGAGGCGUGUAGUAAUUUCCUCUCCUUUUUCGUUCUGAACCACAGUAAUCCCUGACUUCUUUGGUACCACUUGAGUAGGACUCACCCAAGGGCUGUUAGAUAUAGGGUAAAUAAUGCCUGCUUGAAGUAGCUUCAGCACCUCAGCUCGCACCACCUCUUGUAAAUGAGGAUUCAAUCUUCUUUGAAGUUGACGAAUUGGCUUUGCUUACUCCUCUAUAUAUAUAUGAUGCGUGCAAACUAAAGGGCUAAUGCCUUUCAAGUCGGAUAUUUGCCAUCCUAUUGUCUUCUUACACCUCUUGAGAACUUCCAUUAAAGACUUCUCUUGAUGACUGGUCAGAGAUGAAGAUAUUACGACAGGACAUUGAUUAUUUUCCUUAAGGUAUGUAUAUUUCAGCUCCACGGGUAGAGGCUUCAGAUUGAGUUUUGGAGUCUCUUUUUCAGUAACUGCCUCUUCUUCUUUAUUGAACAAAGGUAGAAUCUCUUCUAUCAUUCUCCAACUUUGUAGAGUAGCAAGCACAUUAGGGGGUUCAGACAAACCUUCCUCAAAAUCCACAAGACUUUCAUUCAGCUUGUCCUGCAUAUUCUGAUUACAGUGUUCCUCUACCAAAGUGUCAAUAAUGCACACCUCUUCUGGACCCUCUUCUUCUUUCGGAGUGGUUUGCUUUUUAGACAUAUAGAAGAUAUUGAGAUCAAGUGUCAUGUUGCCAAAAGUGAGUUGCAUAAGCCCAUUCCUACAGUUGAUGAUUGCAUUUGAGGUAGCAAGGAAUGGCCUUCCAAGGAUGAUAGGAACUAAAUUAGCUUCCUUUACAGUAGGGUCUGUAUCAAGAACAAUAAAAUCUACCGGAUAGUAGAAAUUAUCAACUUGAACCAAGACAUCCUCAAUUACCCCCCUUGGAAUUUUUACUGAUCUAUCUGCUAGAGAUAGAGUGAUUGUCGUUGGCUUCAACUCACCAAGUCCCAAUUGCUUGUAGACAGAAUAUGGAAGCAAAUUCACACUUGCUCCCAAGUCUAACAAAGCUUUCUCCACUACCUUUCCUCCAAUCAUGACUGAAAUGGUAGGACUUCCCGGAUCUUUGUACUUCAAUGGAGACUUGCAUUGUAAGAUUGCACUUACUUGCUCAGUCAAGAAGGCUUUCUUAUUUACAGUCAACCCUCUUUUAAUAGUACAUAAGUCCUUUAGGAACUUUGCAUAUGUUGGAACUUGUUUAAUCAUAUCCAGCAGUGGGAUAUUGACUUUCACUUGUCUCAAUACUUCAAGAAUUUCAGCUGCAUUUCUAAUCCCCUUUUUCCCAUGCAAUGCUUGAGGAAAAGGAGGAGAAGUUGAUUUCUUCAGCAUUUCUUCUUUUUGAAACUCCUUCUCUGGAAUUGCAUUCAUUGUUGAAUCAUAGUCCUUCUUCUUUUCACUGAUCUCACUCUCUUUGUCUUCCAUUUCCUCCCCUUUCUUUAUCUCUUCUUCUUUCUCAACAUGUGGCUUGGGUAUUGGCUUCUCAAUUUUUUUACCACUCCUUAGAGUGAUCAAGGCUUUGACAUCUUUCAUCUGUGAUGAUUCUUCCUCUUGAACCUCCACUUCAUGGACACCCUUGGGGUUUUGGUGGGGUUGAGAAGGAAAUCUUCCCUUUUCUUGCACUGUGUUCAAAUUUGUGAGCCUUGAAAUUGAGUAUUGGAGAUUAUCAAACUUUUGGGAUAUAUCAUUUUGCAUUCCAUCCAUCCUUUUAUUCAAAGUACUCUCCACUCUGUCAAUUCUUUGAUUGAGUUGAGUAUUGAUGGCUUCUUGGUUUCCAACAAAAUCUCCCACUACCUUGCUGAGAUUUGCUAUUGCUUGUUCAAGACUUGAAGAUUGUUGAGAUGGUUGAUCCGGCUGUUGGUACUGAGUUGCUCUGGCCUUCCAUGAGAAAUUUGGAUGAUUCCUCCAACUUGAGUUGUAAGUAUUUCCAUAAGGCGCAUUGUUAUUGGGCUUGAAUUGUCCAACAACAUUUGCUUGAUCUCUAAACAUUUCCCUUUCAGCUGAAAUUGCAGGGCAUUCCUCCACCAAAUGUUCAUAUGAUUGACAAUUAGGACAAAGCUUUACUUGCACUGGUGCUUCAGCAACAGCUUGCACUUCAUGCACUUUUUUCAGUUCCAGCUCCUCCAAUCUUCUUGUCACAGCUGCCAAUUUUGCUUUCAUAUCAUCAUCUUCUUUCAAGGUAUACAUCCCAGCCUUAGCAUUAAAAGCACUCAGUUGAGACUUCAUCUUCCCCACUUCUCCUUUGGUUAGUUCAUCCCAUCCCCUUGAAACUUCGGCUACAUAGCUCAAGAAAUCCAUAGCUUCCUCCGGAUUUUUGCUCAUGAAAUCUCCUCCACACAUUGUCUCGAGGAGUUGCUUCAUUGAGGAAGACAUCCCAUCAUAAAAAUAGCUCACCAAUAGCCAAGUAUCAAAGCCAUGGUGAGGGCAAGCAUUUAUAGCUUCCAUGUAUCUUUCCCAACACUCAUAGAAUUUCUCAUUCUCUUUAGCUGAGAAGUUUGAAAUUUGCCUUUUCAAGCCAUUUGUUCUAUGAGUGGGAAAAAAUUUCUUGAGGAAUUCAGCUUGUAAGUCAGUCCAAGUGCAGAUACUCCUUGGCCUUAAAGAAUUAAGCCAAAUUUUGGCCUUAUCCUUUAAAGUAAAAGGAAAUAACUUAAGCCUCAUCAAAUCAAUUGAAGCUCCUCCCUCUUGGAAUGUAUUACAAACAUCUUCAAAUUCAUUGAUGUGUGCAUAGGGAUUCUCACUUUCCAUUCCAUGGAAAGUUGGUAGAAGUGGAACAAGAUACGGUCUGAUCACUAGCUGCUCCGUAGGGGGCACUAUACAUGAUGGUGCACUCAUAUGAGGUGGAUGCAUACGAUCCCUCAUUGAUCUGAAUUCAUUGAGAUUGUCUUGACGACCUUGGUGACUAUGCUGAUCUUCAGGUGUAGCCUCCAUGAUAUUCAAGCUCAAUUCCAAUUCCUUGUUAUGAGGUGUAUCACGUUUAACAAGCCUUCUUCCACUGUCUCGUAUCCAAUUUGGCAUACACAACUAGUAUCUAUUUGUAACUAAAAUGAAAAUAAAGGACAACAAAAGGAAACAGGGCUAAAACAACAAAAUUAAACUAAGCUGAAUUUAAAAGAUAAAUUUGGAUUAUGAAUUAGUAAAGAAAGAAUGAGAAUUAGUAAAAUGAAAGAAACGUUACCAAACUUGUGAUGAAAAUCACAAGUGCUCUGAAAUGGUCUCACUAUAAACUUGACACCUUCCCCGGCAACGGCGCCAUUUGAUUCAUGCCCAAUUGGUGUCUCAGCUGAUUCAUGUCCAGCUGGUGCUCCUUGUUUGAGGGAGUAAUCAACAAAAUUUAUAACCUAUUACACCAUAUACUAGGGUAGCAAAGAAAAAGCUACUAUAGUAUAGUGGCUCUAGGAUCGUUCACUGGGAAGGGUUUCCAAAUUAUAAAUGAUACCAAUUCAAAGUGAAUUGGUACUUUUUCAUUUCAAGGUUAGCUCAAGAAAUAAAACAAAAACUUUGAUUGGUAAAGAUUUAGAUUUAAAAUAACUACAAAGCAAGUGAUGGAAAUUACUUAGGAAGAAAAACAUUCCUUGGAGGGUCAGGUUCACUGGGGAGGUUCAUCAUGCAAAAGACAUAGCUCCGGUCAGUUGGUUCAUUUCCUCGCGUGAGAGAAUCAACAUAUACUCAAUUCUCUAACCGGUGUUGUAUAGAUACAUCCUUUAAUUAGAUUUCAGCUUUAAUUCUCUCACUGAUGCAACUUGCAACGGUUCGAGCCUCUCACUAAGCCUUAACCAUUCAAGGUGAUCUUUAACCUUGGACUUCCCUUCUCAAGCUCGCAAGAGAUAACUAAUGGAUGUCUCCUUGGAGUCCAAAAGCUUACCAAGUGUUGGCAAUUCCAGAAAAUCCUACCUUCAAGUCACCUCCCAGAGGCUCGCAAGGGGUAAACUAGUGCAUCUCCAUGGUUGGAUAUCACUUGCCUUACCAAGUGUUGGCCCAGGUGACUCUAAGGUGUUUUAAGUUAACUAAAAACAUAGAAAUCACUAAAGGAUUUCACUUCCUCUUCAUUCAUGGCUGAAACCACAAAGCUUUGCAUUCUUGCACUUGGAACCUUUCCCGGCAACCUUAGCUCCAAGGAACUAAAGGUUUAGUUACUCAUUCUCUGGGGAAACUUCCUCAGAGAGUGCAUAACUUAGAAAAAAUGAAAAAUACAAAGUGAGAAGAUAAGGCAAAACAAAGGUCCUGAAUUUUACUUGCUUUCAAACUUUUACAUAAGGGUUCCUCUCUGAGAACAGGCUCUCGAGAGCUAUUUAUAUCAACAAAAACAAAUACUAAUUAUUACACGGAUAUUUUCUCUUUUUACUAACUUAAAAGCUAAGGAAUCUUAUAAUUGGUGGCUUUCAAGGAGAAUUUUGGGAUUUAGACAACAAAAAUCUGAUGAAAAAUAUCUCCCAAUGUCGGUAGCAAAUAUCGGGAAGCACUAAGGGCCAUUUCGCAGGUGCAAACGAAGUCUGCGAGAUUUCGCAGAUACACAAAAAGGGCUGCGAAAUCACUUCGCAGCAAACGGCUGAUUUCGCAACGCUGCGAAGUGGUCUUUCAACUUGUGGUAUUAGGCUUCCAUCGUGACGGGAAACUUCAGGGGGGAAACACAGCACUGUACAAAAAGGCUGCGAAAUCAUCUCGCAACAAAAGGGUGAUUUCGCAGCGCUGUGCAAAAUUCUUCCUUUAGCUUGGGAGUGAUCAGCUUGCAAUGGCUGUAACUCCUUCAUUUCAACUCCAAAUUGUGCACCGUUUAAAGCAUUGGAUUGUUGACUUCCUGAGCUUCGAAACGACAUAUAGCAUGCAUAAAUUGGACUUCAUAAAGUGCUCCAAAAGUGGCUGACAUGACUGUCAUCAAGAAUAUGCUUCAUGACAGAUUUCUCUUUGCUUCUUCUCCUUACAUUCUGGAUUUACUCAUGGCAGCAAAGGACUUCAAAGCUUUAGUUCUUCACGUUUCUGAGCUUCAAAUUGCUUUGCCAAAGAUUCCACAUAACUCUCCUCAAUCCCGGAUUGCUUUGGUGAUCAAAAAGCUAUCAAAACACCAAAACUUAACACAUAUUGAUUAGAAGUGCUUGCAAAGGUCCUUAAUAUGUUAAUUGGGUUAAAAGGCAAUAACUACUACUCAAAAGUGUUUAAAAGAGUUAAUUACAAGCUAUGAAAUAGCACAUUUUGAGUAGUAAUCAAUCUCCUCUUAUAGAAUGGGACAUUUUAAUUUCAUUAUAUUCUACUUUUUUGUUAAUAUUUAAAAUAUAAAAAUAUAAUCACAUUUGACAAUGGCUCCACAUUAAAAUUUGAAUAUUUGAUAUGUUUCCAUCUUCAGGAAAUGCAUAUGAUAAAAAAUAUAUAAUGACUACUAAAGAUGACAUUUAAAACUACAAUUGUGAAAAAUGACUAAUUAAUUAAGUGAAUCACCUGAGAAAGGGGGUGGGGGGAGGGGUUGUUGAAUUAGGUGUUAUAAACUUUUUGAAAAUAUUCAACCAAACACAGAAAGAAAAGUAAUUAAUAAGCAAGAUGAUAGUUAAGUAAAGGAUAGGGAGAAGAAAAGUGCAAACUCUUUUUAUAGUGGUUUGACAAUCCGCCUAUAUCUACUCUCCUCAAACCCCUAACCAAGUGAGAGUUCCACUAUCAAGGCUUCCAACACAAGCCUUCAAGUUUUACAAUUGGAUCUACUACCUCUAAUGGGCACUUACAAUCCCUUCAAGUACUCCACCUACUUGAAGUCUUUUCACUCAAAAUGAAUAGAUACGAAAGGUUUUAAUGCAUCCUAUCUUAGAACAAACUUUACUCACAAUAAAGUUAUGAUGGAUUUUGAGGUGCACUCAAGAAUGUGACAGUGGGAAAUAAAUGUACUUUGAAUGUGAGAAAAGAAAGGUUUUUUAAUUGAUUGCAAUUAUUCUCAUGUUAAUAAAUGUAGUAGGUAUCUUCAAUUUAUACGUUUUCAACUUAUGAACCCUAAAAGAUACAAAACUCCCUUGAUGUUGAACUCCAAUUUGAUGAAUGGACUAGUAGUUGAACAUUAAAUGCUUUGAAUGUGACCAUAUAUAUAUAUAUAUAUAUAUAUAUAUAUAUAUAUAUAAGAAAAUGCUUAUUGAAAAUUAGUCAUAACUGCAUCAAGAUGAUUGUGAAAAAUAGUCAUUAUAAAAGACAGAUGAAAGUGGAAAGUAGUCAUGAUUAAAAGAAGAUGACCAAUACAGAAAGUCAAUGUUGGCAUGUGAAAAUGGUCGACAAAAGACUCCCAAAGGAUGAUUGCAAGAAAGGUGAUCACCAUUUAGAACGGAUAUCUUUGGUGAAAGAUGACUGGUCUCCAUCUUCUCUUUUUCUGGUCGUAGGGAAUUGUCACACAAAAAGCAAAAGAAAAAAAUGAACGUGUUGGGUGCAAUACGCAUUAACAUUACACUACAGCGAUACCCACUUAAGGUAAAAUGUUGAAGAAAAUGCUUCUAGUAUUGGGUGCAAUAAUAACAAAAUUAAGUGCACUCAUGUUGUACUUCUAUUAUAAAUGUAAGACUUGGCGAAAAACAAGUAGACAGCCAAUCCUAUUGCAGUGAGUCCAGCAAGUAACCAAUAAAAGUAAUCAAGAUGUGCCCGAUUGAGAUUGUCACUAAACCAGCUAUCUCGUCCAUCCCCACUAGUUAUUUUCCCAAUGACAGAGAUCAGAGAGGUGCUCAGCAAGCUCCCUAAGCCAACGAUACUUAGUUGGAGGGACACGCCAACACUCCUCAAUUCAUUAGGCAUCUGGUCACAGAAAAACUCCUGAAUACCAACACUGGUGAAUGAGUCAGAAAUUCCUAAGAAAAUAAAUUGGGGAAUCAACCACCACACCUUCAUAGGAAGAGUCGUCUUUGGCAUAUCAACCAGCUCAUAUUCUUCAGCAGUUUUCAGACGUUUCAACUCAACUAGGGCUGCAAUUACCAUGGUAAUGGCAAUUAAAAAUAUCCCAGUUCCGAUUCUCUGAAGCAUUGUUAUGCCAGAUGGUUUUCUGGUUAAAGAUCUAGCAAUCGGGACAAAUAUGCGGUCGUAUAUAGGAAUGAAGAUGAGAACCGUGAGGGCCCUAAAAAAUUGAAGUGAAGCUGCUGGUAUGUGAAAGCCUGAACCUAUUGAUCUAUCUAGUGUAGUUCCUUGCUUGGUAAACAAAGUGGGUGGCUGUGCAAGCACAAUACCAUACCCCAAACAUGUGGCCCAUAUGGGAAACAGCCUUAGUACUGCCUUUGCUUCUUCAACAUCACUGAGGCUACAUGCCUUUCCUUUUUCCCCAGACCCCCCUGGCAGAAGCAAUGCCUUGUUGAGAAACCUGCCAUAGAAAAGAGACCAAAGUCUGAUAUAAAUUUAGAACCAUUUUGAUGAGAAGAUUUAAAGGCAAUCUUUAGAGCCCUGGAAGUUAGAAAUCUGACAAAGGCCUUGAAUUUUCAAAUCUCUUUCAUGAGAAAUAUGAUUUUUUUUUUUUUCCCUAUUUGAGUCUUAUGCACUGAAAUAUAUAGAUAGUUGUUGCCUACUUGAACUGGUUUGAACCUUGGUGAGGGGGAAGGUUUUCUUGAGCCGCCUCUUCUGUAGCUUCCACUGGAGGGGUUGUCUUCCAAUUCUUGGCUGCUGCAACAAAAACCCGACCAAUUCUCACAAAUGGGCUUCUCUCAUCCUUUUUGAUACUAUACCUAUAAGUCCUAGCCCCGAACAAGAAAAGGAGCAGCCCCAACACCAUGAAAAGGCAAAGGAUUCCAAAUCCAAGAAUCCAACUAACGUUCUCUUCAAUGUAGCUCAUAAUCAAGUAACUUACUGCAGCACCACCAGCCAGACCAAAAUACCACCAGUUGAAGAAUGAGCUUUUGGCUUUGCAUUCCUCUUGAUCUCGUUGGUCGAACUGCUCAGCUCCAAAUGCUUGGAGGCAAGGCUUGAGCCCACCUUGCGCAAUUGCCACUACAUACAAUGAGAAAAAGAAGAAGAAUACUUGGAGCUCAGAAUGAGAGCAGGACGUUGUUUUGUUUCUGUUUUUGCAGUUGGAAGAGCUCCCAGAAGUAAGCACAGCAGACAGAGUCAAUAAGCCUAGUCCCUGUACUCCAUUCCAAUAGAAAUCAAAGAUAAUUGUCAACCCUGAUAUAUAGUGUUGAUUAAUUUCCAGAACCCUUCUCAUACACAUGGUACAAUUAACUUCAUAAUGUAUUCAUGCAAUCUAGUUCUUUAUUUUUAUUCAUAUGAUUCACCCUCCAAAACCUGGAAUAAACCAGGAAUUUGGUGCGUACCAACUCCAGAAAAAUGAAAUCCACUAUAUAAAAAUAUUGGUGCAAAAGAGGAAAGUUACGAGCGGCUACAACAUAUAAUCAUCAUAACAUCAGUCCGAUCCCUCCGAUUUCACCAUAGAUUCUCAAAAAAAAAAAAAUCUCACAAUUAUAGGUUCACCAUAUAUUUCAUACCGCGAGCUUUCUGGAUCAAACUAAAUAAAAUUCUAAUCACCAAACUCUACCAGUAUGGUUGCACUACCCCGCAAAUUACAUACAUACACUUCUCAAAAACUUUAAAAUAAUCUUUAAUAUUGUUCCCUAUCGAUUGAAGAUAACAAAUAUAAAAGUAAUAUGAAUAAAAAAUCAUAAAUUUUAAGAUAGCAAAAAGUUAGAAUAUAUAACUGUUAACAAUUGAACAAUAAAAUUUAUUUUAUCUUAAACGGUUAUAAAUUAUUAUUUUUUUAUCCUUUAAUAAAAUUAUAAAUAUUAAUAAUCUAUUAAAUUUAUAUUUUAUUCUUUGCGAUAUUUAAUUAAUUUAUUAAUGCAUAUGUUUAAGUUUUAAAAUUAUUUAUAUAUUUAUUAACCUUUUUCUUAUAUACUUAUGAUAUCAUGGUAUGAUCAUCAAAUUACCAAUCCAAUCAAUAAACCGUGACCUAAUAACUUUUUCACUUGAGUGAACAAUAGGAUUUUUGAAACAUAAAGCUCAGUGCAAGAAGCAACUAAUUGCGGGAUAAAUUACAAAGACUAACCAGGAUGUAGGUAACAGAAGCAAUAACAAUGGUGCGAUAUUGACCAAGAUAAGAGUCUGCAAUGGAAGCUCCUAAGAGAGGCAAUAAAGUCGAAGUCCCGGACCAUGUAUUCACGUUGGCAGCUGCAGCGACGGUGGACUCCCCUAGCCAUCCGGUGAGGUAGUUUAUAAGGUUGGUUUCUAUACCUUUGAAAACAAACCUCUCCACAACUGCCAUGCCUGUAAAAAUACAUUUAGGGUCAUAUUUAUGACAUGAUUUGUCCAUAAGAUAAACUAUUUACAUGUAAAUUUUUCUUUAACUACUUCAUUUCGUACCUAUGAUGAAAUACGCAGAUUUCCAGGCACCUGAGAAGGAUCUCUUGGCUGGGUCGCCUUUGUCGUCGACGGCACCAUCUACAGUGUCGUCCAAAGAUGAAGCCUCCGAGAUGUGACAGUUAUCCAUGUGUUCGCCAAGCCAAAGCUCACCACACUAAGGAGAUGUCUUGGUAUAUCUGCAGGCUUCUUUGUUUGCGGGUUAUGUUCGUUAUGUGUACUUCAAUUCUUAGUUGUGCAUCAGAUUCACCACGCACAAGUCACCACCACAUAGGAAUCCUCUUUGCUGAUGUGGUCCUAGUGCACAACUUUUGCUAUUUUCUUUUGUUUUUUCAAGUUCUGAGCAUAGAAUUAAUGGCUAUGAGAAUUUGAUUUGGGAAAGUGAUAGAAUUUGAUUUUGCAAAGUGAUGCUAGCUGCACCAUCUCCCUUUAAACAAGAUGUAGAAAUAAUAUUAAUAUUUUAUUUUAUUUUAUUUCUAUGUAAUGAUGAUUUCAAGUAUCAUGUACUAAAUAUUAAUACUAUUGUGAAUUUUGACUCUUCUAAUAGUAUCAUAAACUAUCUUAGAAUCUCCUUCCAUUAGGCUAUGUUUGGUUUCUGGAAAGUUUGAGGGAAAAUGCGAGAAAAAGAAAAUAGAAAGGAAAAGUAGAAAGAAAGAAAAGAUAAAAAAAAAAAAAUUUAAAGUUUAUAAAUUAGUUUUGUAUCUUACUUCAAACUUAUUUUACUUAUUUAACUCUUCUUUGUGAGGAUUAAAUAAUUUAAAAAUAUAUAAAUUUCUUAUUAAUUUUAAUUAUAUUUUAUUUUCUUUCGAUAGUAAAAUCAAAUAUGAGAAAAUCAUUUUUUUAACAAUUUUUUUCUUUCCUUAAUACUUUUGGGGAAUCAAGUAUAGUCUUACUAUAAUAAUUAUUUAAUAUAUAAGAGUAUUCUAAAAACUUGAUCAACCUAAAUAUGACCUCUCAGUUUAAUAAUUGAGUUACAAUCCUCUUGGGGGAAUCUCUGGUUAAUAUUAUAAGGAUAAUAUGAUACAAAGGUUAUUACUGACUUUGAUCUAUGGAAUAAAUUGGGUUAGGUCAAAUUUAUUGGUUUUGAUCCAUAUAACAUGUUUAAUUAAGACUUUAAAUUUAUGUUUUCUCAAUUAACCUAUUACAAAAAGUAAUUUAUUUAAUUUAAAUUAUUGAUUCAAAUCUUAUUUUCUUAAAACUUAUUAAAAAUUUAGGAUUAUAAUAGUCGCAUGAGAUCAUACAUUGUAAAUUCAUAAUUACAUCACAUAACAUGAUGAUUAAACAAUUAAAAAUGAAUUGGGUUAUAAUUGUUUCAAUAAGACAAUUAACCAAAUGUAGGAAAAUAGGAUAAAAAAAUUGAAGUCUUGAACUUUAAAUCUUGUUUAUGUUUUAGGCAAGUUGACAAAUAAUAUCACAAAUGGAAUUAGAUUUAACCAAAAUUCACUAAUUUCAUGUCAAUUUAAAGUCAUAUAUAUAUAUAUAUAUACUUAGGAAAUGCAAUCUCUACCUUCCACUACCAAUGCCUUGAACCUAUUCCAAAUGGUUGCAAAAUGCAUUGGCAGAGAAUGGAAUAUAAAUAUAUACAACCAGUUGCGGUGAAAAAGAGCUUUCUAUGAAAAUGUCUACUCAGUUUACUUCUGCAUGAUUCUUGCAUACUCUUGUUAUUGACAAGCUUUGAUCCAUAAUUAUUUGAUAAGGGUUUAACAGUGUGUUUGACAAUAAUUCUAGAAAGUGUUUCUAGUUUUCCUAACAAUUGAAAAUUUUUAUCUUUUAAGUAUUAGAAAGGCUACAAACAUGGCAUAAAAUCAAUGUCAAACUUAGUCUAUAUAAAUUUGAUUAACCAACUAUUGAGAAGAAUUUACGAGCUAUUUAUUGAAUUAUUUCCUUUAACAUGCCCACUCAAGUUGGCAAGUGAGAUAGUUGAAACUCCUAACUUGUAAUGAAAAUUUGUGAACAAUUCACAUGAUAGGGGCUUAGUGAUAAAAUCUUAAUACUUGUUAAAAAGAUUGCAUUUGUAAUAUGUGAAGGGAGCUAAUUGCUAUUUUUUCUUAAAUGAAAUUGUUGUUGAUUUUAAUGUAUUUUGUGUAUGUGUGGAAGACAUGAUUCUUCACAAGAUGUAUGGAACUCAUAUUGUCACAAAGAAAUUGAGGACAAUGAUCACUUAGGUGAAUGCCAAUAUCUUGGAGUAGGAAUGUGAUCCAUUUUAACUCAACUGCAAUGGAUGCAAGAUAUCUGAAGAUUCCUCUUUUUUUUUUUUUUUAGUGUAGGUUUUUCAGGAUUUUUGUCUUUAGUGGUUCUUGCAAGUGGCAAACUCUCCCUUAGCUCUUUCUUAGGUCUUGAUUUUAUAGUAUGUGUGGUUAAUGACAUGCCAUUCAUGCAUAACAUUUGCCCCUUGAGUUAAGUCAAAGGUGGGUUUCCUUUUUGACUUAGUGUAUUAGCUUGACCCGGUGCAAGUGGGUGUUAUUUAGAUACAUUUUUAGAAUUGACGUGUCUUUAGGUUGGCUUAUUUUAACCACUUGAUCUCAAUUUGACUUAGUCAGGUAUACGUGUUUUGGUUUAAUAGUUUUGGUGGGAUCAAUAUCCAUACUCAACUUUUGUGCUAAAGAUGCAAUUGGUGCUAAGCAAAAGAGAAAGCUCAGUUGUAAUUCAUUAAGUGUCUUUACUAUUGGAAUUUUUAUGUGUGGACUUACAUAAUAAAUGUGAUAAUGUCAUAAAUCAAUGUUAUUUUAUUUUUGCAUUGUGGUCCAUAAUAGGGCUAGACACAUAUUGUUGCUUGAGUUUUUAUGGGCUCACCCUAAUUCACUUGACUGGCCCAUACAUGGAUGACAUUUGAGCUGCAUAUUUGGGUUAUUUUGGGUUUCCCGUUGUUUGGUUUGGAAGCCAUUUUUUGGAGCUCUUUUUUUUUCGUUUGAUGUUGAUUCUCGGUUUUCAAGCCUGAUUGAUGUUGGAGACUUGUAGAAAACAUUGUUUGGAGCAAAACCCUUUUUUUUUUAUGGUUUUUAGAGCUCAUUUGAUGAGAUUUCGAAAAUUAAGGUUUAUUCUGGUGCUUCCUUUUAUGCUUUUUUUUGUGUAAUUUUUUGGUUUAGAUUGAAGGAUUAAUGUUUGAGGAUGGAAACCUAAGUGUUUUUGUCAUAAAAUGCACAAAAUAUUGGCCUAAUUUUUUUUUUCUUUUCCAGAAGAACUAGGUCGUGUUCAGUCCGGGAGAGAAGAUGAACAGUGCAUAACAACGUCAUCAUGACGUCAUAAAAAAAACUUUUUUUUGGUUGUCUUGGUAUUCUUGGAAUUAUUAUGCAUUUGUUAAAUUUGGUUUUAUUGGGACAAUUAUUAUUAUUAUUAUUAUUGUUCUUUAUGGUAUAAUUUUUUAUCUUAUACCAAUAAUGUUGUCCUAGGCCCUUUUUUGUUAAAUAUUUAAAUUUAUUAUGGCAAUAAAGAACACUUAUGUGAUUGCCUAUUACAAUUCCAAGUGUGUCAAGUUGUGCAAAUUAAAUAUUUGAGUUUAUCAUGACAAUAGUGAACAUAUAUGUGGUUACCUAUCAUGAUCCUAUAUGUGUCAAAUUGUAUUUGUUGAGAUAUUUUAUCUCCCACUUUUGGUUGCUUUAUUAUUGUGAUUACUAAGGUCCAUACGGGUAUUGUAAUUGUCCUAUCGAUGAUUAUAAUACUUGGUAGGAUGCUUAGAUUGAUGAAGAAAAUUAAUUAUAUAUUAUGAAUCGUACUAAUUUUCUUUUGCCUUUUCGGUAAUAAAAUUAGUGCAUCUUGGUUGUGAUAUUUAAUUAGUUGUCCUUAUCACUGUGGAAUUUUAAGAUUCCAAGCUAUUGCUAAAUUGAGAAAUUCUGGAAACUAGCAAAUAGCAUGAUACUAUAGUAACAUGCAUAUUGUUUAAUAUUGUUAUUUUCCAGCUACUAGCAAUCCUAGAAUUACUCUGCAAUUAUUUGCCAUCAAGCCUCAUACUGGAAAUAACUUUCGAGGCAAUGGUAUCUGAAGUUUGAUAGGAUUAUCACCCAAAAUGGUUUUAAAGAGAAUACGGUUGACAGAUGCAUAUAUUUGAGGGUCAAUGGGAGUAGUUAUAUAUAUCUUGUUUUAUAUGUUGAUGAUAUACUACUCACAUCAAAUGAUUCUGACUUGUUGAUUGAGACAAAGCACAUGUUGUCAACCCAUUUUGACAUGAAGGAUCUUGGUGAGGCUUCUUAUGUUUUGAGCAUAAAGAUUCUUCGUGAUAGGGCUAAUGGGGUGCUUAAAUUGUCUCAAAAAACCUAUAUUGAGAAGAUAUUAAAGAGGUUCAAUAUGAACAACUAUAGUUCUACUAGAAUGCCAAUUUUGAAGGGUGAUAAGUUUUCAAAGGCUCGGUGUCCUCAAAAUGAUGAUGAGAGAGAGAAAUGAGGAUCAUUCCUUAUUCAUCUUUGGUUGGCAGCCUUAUGUAUGCUCAAGUAUGUACACGCCCUAAUAUUGCAUUUGUUGUGGGCAUGUUGGGAAGGUACUUGAGCAAUCCUGAGAGUCAACAUUGGAAAGCUGCUAAGAAGGUCCUUAGGUAUUUGCAAGGAACUAAGGACUUAAUGUUGACAUAUCAGCGCACCAACAUACUUGAUGUAGUUGGGUUUUGUGAUGUUGAUUUUGCUGGUUGCAUAGAUGAUAAGAAAUCCACUAUGGGCUAUAUUUUUGUGAUGGUUGGAGAAGUUGUAUCUUGGAAAAGUGUCGAGUAGACACUUACAACAUCCUCAACUAUGGAGGCAGAGAAUGUGGCAUGUUAUGAGGGUUGUUGUCAUGCUAUAUGGAUGCGGAAUUUUAUUUCAGUUUUGGGAGUUGUUGACUCCAUUUCUAAAUCGUUGAAAUUAUUUUCUGAUAAUUCUGCAGUUGUUGCUUUCUCUAAGAACACUAGAAGUACUUCUCGCUCUAAGCAUAUUGAUGUAAAGUUCUAUUUUGUUAAGGAGAAAGUGGUAAAGUCUCUUAUUGAUAUUGAGCACAUGUCAACAAAAGGUAUGUUGGCGGAUCCACUAACAAAAGGCUUACCCAUGGUUGUGUUUCAUGAACAUGUAUCUCAAAUGGGGUUGUUGGGAGCCUAGGUUGCAUUAAGUUAGUGGGAGCCAUUUUUGGUAUUGUAAUAUUAUGAUAUUGUUGGAAGGAUUGUUAUUAUUGUAUAUUUCCUUGUGAAUCAAGCAAUGAAGCAUGUAUGAUUGCUUUUGAUUAUUUGUUUUGAUUAGAUUCUAUGGGACAUUGAUUUAUGAUUAUGUAUAUGUUGUGAUGUUUGAUUAUGUAAUCCACGUGGGAGAAUUGUUGGAAUUUUUUAUGUGUGGACUUACAUAAUCAAUGUGACAAUAUCAUAAAUCAAUGUUAUUUUAUUUUUGCAUUGUGGUCCAUAAUGGGGCUGAACACAUAUUUUUGCUUGAUUUUUUAUGGGCUCACCCUAAUUCAUUUUACUGGCCCAUUAAGUCAAGUGGUCCAAAUAAUGUGUGAAAUGUGUGAUAUAUAUAUAUAUAUAUAUAUAUAUAUAUAUAUAUAUAUAUAUAUAUAUAUAUAUAAAGGCUUCUUCUUCUUGGGAGCUAAAAAAAGGGCGUGCACUGCACACUCGUCUUGAGAGCACACACGGACUGAAUCUUGGGUGUAGAAAAGGAAAAGCUCAUUGAACCCGAAUUUUCAUACCAUCAUGAACUGAGCAUAUUCUUGGACACCAAUAGAGCACGAAAAUGGCUUUACAUGGCAUUAAUCAAGGUAAGCAUUUCAUUUAUUGCCAUUUAAUGGAUGCUUUAAUGUCUACAUGUGAUCCUAUAUCGUUUAAAAUUUUAUCAUUUACAACUAGCCUAAUUUUAAGUAUAAGAAAUCAUAUAAGUUUAUUACGCUUUCAAAGAGAUAGUGAAGACCGUAGUCAAGCAUUCCUUUGAUACAUCGAAGGAUGUGUUUGAUGGCCCAAAUAUUGGACUUUUUUGUUGCUUGGAAGUUUUGACGAACUCUGUUCAUAGCAUAGGUGAUGUCAAGUGUAGUAAUUGUGAGGUACUAGAGACUCCUUACUAGAAAUUAGUAUUGUGUAGCAUCUACAAGGUUGUUGUCAUCAACGAAACUGGUUUCUCUUGCAAAUUACUAGGGUUGAGAUUGGAGGACACUUUGCCACUUGAGCUUUGGUAAAGAGAUCUCUUGUGUACUUGUUUUGUGAAAGAUAGAUGCCACCAGGGAAGUGUCAUACUUCUACUCUAAGGAAGUAACGGAGAGUGCCAAGGUCUUUCUAUGCAAAAUCUAUGUUCAACUUGUGGAUAAUUGGUUGAGUAGAGAUUCUUUGUUCUCUAUGAUAAUGGCAUCAUCUACAUAACUAAAAUAAGAUGAGACUACAAUUAUGUUUGUAAACAAAAGGAAAUUACCGGAUUUGAUAUAGAAAAAUUAAACCAUGCUUGAUGGCUUGCUUGAGCCCAUAGAGAGAUUUGUUAAGUAACAAAUAUGUGAAAAUGACCUUUGAACAUAGCAUUUCUUUCAUUUCUUAAAUGUGGAAUUAAACUUAAAAUAAAAAUUAGAUCCAUAGUUAGGGUUUGAACACCAAUUUAACUUAAGUUAGGUGAUUUAAGCCUUUUAUAUUGCUCAAAUAAUAUUAGUGUCAUCGAAGCAUAGAUUUUUGUUAUAAUCAAGAUGAAACUUCUUGACAUGAUGUAUAGUGGAGCUUUCAUGAUCAAGACACUAGACGAGGAGUUCUCAUUUCUUGGCUUACAUGGUUGAUGUGGAAGAUCUAGUGAUCAAAGAGCAACCAAGAGAAAAGGGUAUGAACAAGGCAAAGGCUAGUUGCUUGUAUGCAUUACUUGAUGGAUAGAAGACUAGAUUAUUUGGAAGCAAAAGAGAGUGCAAGAGGUUUAGGUAGUAAUCGACUAGAUUUCACAAGCAUGCUUAUAUAAGUCUGUAGAAGUUGAUAGAAACAAUUUUUAUUAGCAUUUCAUAAAUUAUCAUAAAUUUAGAAAUAUUUUUUUAUAUUACUAUAAAUCCUAAAUCAAUUUUAUAAUUACUAUUUUUAAUAAAUGUUUUUUUUAAAUGGUACAAAUAUUAAAAAUCUGGAAAAUGAGACUAAUAAGUAAAAUAUAUAAAAUUAUUAUUUUAAAAAAAAAUGAAAAGACAACACCAAAAAGAGAAGGCAAAUGAUGAAUAGGUUUUCUGACCUAAAGUGAGUGAGUGAGCGUGGAGCCUCUUACAAGGACAAGCUUGCAACAACAAUGAACAGCCACACCACUACCGUCGUUCUCCGUCAAUAACAGUGGUGUAGGAGUCCGGAAACUCUGCCUCCUCGUCAUGUCACUCAAUUCCAUCUUCGGUGGGAACUUGGGCGAUCCGAACAAGCAAGCGUGCUUCUUCGACCUCAUCGGCGACUCCAAGAUGCAAGAUUCUAACUCUCUGUAUUUUUCAUUUUCGUGGGUUUUGAUCAUCUCAUCUUCUCCACCAUUUCUACUCCAAUAUUACCUUUUUUUUCCAUUACCAAUUACCCAAAUAGCUUAGUCGCAACAUGAUCUUGGAGUUGUCUCAAAGUUUCCAUGGGAUUCACUACAAGACUGUUCAUUUAUCUUCAAUCCAAUCGAGUUUGUUCACAAGCUGAUAAAAUUACCAACUCGGGUAUCAGCCUGGUACCGGCCAUGGUUGAGGCGGAUACGACUCGGCCGAGUUGUACCGGUCUCGACUAAGAUUUUGAACCUUGAUACCGGUAUGUCUUGGUCCCAAGCAAGAAAACAAGUAGUGCAAUCACCAUGGCAAUACAGGGGAUUCCAAAUCCAAGACCCCAAUUCAGGUUGUCUUGAAUGUAGUUCAAGACAAAGAGAGUUAUUAGAGUACCAAAGCACAUAGAGAAGUACCACCAGUUGAAGAAUGAGCUUUUGGCUUUGCCCUUCGUUGGAUCUUGUCCAUCAAACUGGUCAGCUCCAAAAGCCUGGACACAGGGCUUGUGCCCACCUUGCCCAACUGCUACAAGAUAUAGAGCGAAAAAGAAGAGGAUUACUUGUAGUUAAGGAGGAGAACAAGAACCGAUUUCAUCACUUUUUUGGCAUUCAGAAGGGCUUGGAGAAGGAAGCACAGCAGAUACCGCUAACAAGCCUAGCCCCUGUGGUUCACAGAAUCAAAGUUGAAGAUGAUUAUCACAAAAUUACGACAGCAACUUAGAAUACUAUGUCAAAAAGCACUCAAAACAAUUUCCAAAAAUCAAAAUUGACAUUUUCAGGACAUUCUUUACAAGGAAGAGUUUUCUAUGCAUCUUUAAGCAUAUUAGUCUCACGGUGAGUUCUUCCAAUAAUAGAGCAUGGCGUGUAUAAACCAGACUCACUCUUUUGAGUAACUGAACAAACCAGCUGCUGUCUAAACGCAUUCUCUGAAAAUCACCCACAAAUUGGAAGCAACUUUUGUUGUAACAAGAGCCUAAUGGUCAAGGUCUGGCUUCAACAAAUACUUUUCCAAUUCUCACAAAUGGGCUUUCCCCAUUUCCUUUGAUUGUAAACCAAUAAGUUCUAGUUCCAAGCAAGAAAACAAGCAGGGCUGCAACCAUGACAAUGUAGGGAAUUCCAAAUCCAAGACCCCAAUUAAAGUUGUCUUCAAUGUAGCUGACAAUCAAAUAAGUUACUGAAGUACCAGUAGAUACACCAAAAAGCCACCAGUUGAAGAAUGAUCUUUUGGAUUUGCACUCCUCUAGAUUUUGUCCAUCAAACUGAUUAGCUCCAAAAGCCUGUGUGCAAGGCUUAUGACCCCCUUGCCCAACUGCUACUAAGUAUAGAGAGAAAAAGAACAAUAUUAUCUGGAGUUGAGGAGGAGAAUAUGAUGUGAAGUAGUCCACGUUUUGGCUUUGGUAGGCGAUGAGGGAAGGAAGCAUAGCAGAUAAAGUUAACAAGCUCAGCCCCUGAGAUCCAUAGCAACCCAAGUCAAAGAUAUAAAUCGAUCGUUCUAUUUUUUACCAGAAGAAUUUGUUUCUCGCAUUGGUGCUUAGACUAAAAAUCCACUUAUACUUGGUAUUUUAAGAAUAACUUGGGAAGUGGGGAGACCAUGGAUAAGUCUUUAAAAUUUAGAACUAACUAAGCUUAUUAAAUUAAUAAAGUUUGUCCUAAUCCACAAGUGUGCUUCCCCAAAAAUUAAAAUUUUCAAAUGUAGAUUGUUACUUAGGAAAUAAAAAGGUGACAAUUUUCAACAAGUGGUCAAAGCAAGAUAAAGCUAUGAAACCCCUUGGAUGAGAAAUACACAAACACAUUUACUAAUGGAGGAAAAUGCUUUUGACGUAGAAGUAAUUAAUGAGUGCAUGGACUCUUUGUGGUGUACUAUGUAGUAUAUGAUGUGGAAUAAUAGUUGAUUAAUGGCCAGCUAGCUGUCCAUAACCUAUUAAUAAUAUCACUUUAUGCUCUUUUGCUUAGUUUUUACUAUUUUAAAUCAAUGGACCCCAAAGCUUUGGGCUUGCAAGCUCAAGUUUUUUAAUGCAAUUGACCACUUUUUUAAUGGAAUUGAUAUAUGCAUAGAUACAUAUAUAAUAUUUAAAACUUUCAAGAGAGAAAAAAAAAAGUUGUACAAAAAUCAAAGUAUAAAUCCUAUUAUAUCAAACAAUAAAUUAAAGAUUCUUUCAUCUCAUACAAAUUCAAUUUUGAUACAUAUUAGUUAAUACUAAUUUUUUAUUCCAUUUGCACUUUGUAGGAUAAACUCUCCGAUCUAUAUUUAUAAAUUUAAAUCCAAGUUAUCUAAAUUUUUCUAAAAUUAAUAAUAAGAAUAAAUAUUUGGUUAAAAUGGAUUAAAUAAUCUUCAAAUUGUAAAUCUAACCAUUUCCGUAUUUUUUCUUGAAAAAUAACUCAUUUUUUUACAUAAAUAUCCUUUGUCAUUUUGAGUAUUUACAUAGGUUUUAAAAGAGAUGGUUAUUUUUAUAAGAAAACAAUGAGGGUAUUUUUGUCCAAAUGAGAUAAAAAAAAAAAAAAAAAAAAGGAGGUCGAAGGUUAAAUUUCAAAAAUUAGUCUUUCAAAUACCUUAUUAAUCAAAUAACCCAAAGAAGAGGACCCUUCUUAUGAUGAUUCUAAAACAGUGGUUCUGGGUAUGUAGAGGACCCAUUUUCGCUAAUAAGAAGCUAAACUUAAGGCAUAUUCAACCACCAUGGGAUGGUAGGAUAGUGGAUGAGAGAGAGAGAGACCAACCAGGAUGUAGAGAAGAAAAGCAAGAACAAUGGUGCGAUAUUGACCAAGGUAAGAAUCUGCAACAGAAGCUCCUAAAAGAGGUAGCAAGGUCGUCGUCCCACCCCAUGUAUUCACGUUAGCAGUAGCCAUAGCUGUGGACUGCCCCAGAGGUCCCGUAAGAUAGUUUAUAAGAUUGGAUCCUAUGCAUAGUUUAUAAGAUUGGAUCCUAUGCCACAGUAAGCAAACCUCUCCGCAACUUCAACACCUUUGCAAAUUCUCCAUUUUGCAUGAAGUUAUAAGGCAUAUUGUUAUUGGGUGUCCGGUAGAAAAAUGAAGAACAAAUUAUGGUUUCUGGUGCUUACCUAUGAUAAAAAUUGCAGAUCUCCAACCACCGGAGCUAGAUCUCUUGGACGGAUAACCUUGAUGAUCAAUGGCACCAUCGACCAUGUCUUCCAAGAAGGGAGAUUUCAAGCUUCAGAGCAUGUUAGCCAUGUUGGGUUUUUCCUCAUGUGGAAUGCCCAAAUUAAAAGCCCAUAUUUAAGGCCUCUUAGGCCUUUAUAUAAAAGGAUUAGAAGAAGAAUCCAUCUUCUUCUUCUUUUUCUUUCAAUUUUUUUGCAACCACCCGAGGUAGAAGAAAAAAGAGUAGAAGGAGAAAAAAGAAAGAAGGGGAAAACCACCAUUUUUGAAGUUAGAGAGCAAAAUUCAAUUUUUCUUCACUAUCCAGAUUUCAUCAAAGGUUCGAUCUUGCUUCGUCUGUGGGCCAAUCGACUUGAAAUUUGGAGAAGAUGUUUGUGACUCAUUGAUCUUCAAUCUGAACGGUGGAGAUCGAAUUUGGAGUUCCGAACGGUCGUCUUUCAGUCCGAGAACAGAGUCUUUGUUUUGGUGAUUUUUCUAUCCGGACAAUUUUGAUCAUGAACUCCGAUCAAGGUUAAUAUGUGGUUCGAUUGAGCUGAUUUUUGGUGAGUACGUUCAAAACUCAUUGAUCUUCAUUCAAAACGGUGGAGAUUGGAUUUGGAGUUCAGAACAGUUAUAUUUUAGUCUAAGAACAAUGGUUAUGUUUGGUAAGAUUUCUCCAUUGUCUUUAUGCAAAGUUGUUGAAAUUGCCAAUAUUAAUUUGUCUUGAGAUAUGGUUGAUGUAUGCCUUUAGUUUUAUCUAGAGAGAAUUGUGUAACUCAUUGAUUAUAUUAGUGGUUUUUUUAAGUGGCCUAAGGGUCCCGUGGUUUUUACUUCUCACAUUGGAGAAGGUUUUCCAUGCUAAAAAUUGUUGGUGUUCAUAUACUUGUUGAUUGGGUGAAUUAUUGUUGCUCUAUUCGAUUGAUUCCUAUUAGGUUCUCACAAGAGGGGAUAAAAUCUGGUUGUGCAUUGUUUGUGUUUAUCCCAUCAAAGUGGUAUCAGAGCAUUAGUUCAAGAUAAUUUGUGUCUUGUGUAGAACAAUGAAAAGCAAUACAAGUAGAGAAUGAUUACUCUGAAUGGCUCCAAUUAUCAUGUUUGGAAAGGAAAAAUGGAAGACUUAUUGUAUGUAAAGGAUUAUUAUUUGCCUAUGUUUGCUCCUGAAAAGCCAGAAAAUAAAACUGAUGCAGAAUGGAAUUUACUUCAUUGACAGGUUUGUGGUUAUAUCAGACAAUGGGUAGAUGAUAAUGUUCUCACUCAUGUUAGUGAAGAGGAACAUGCACGGAGUCUAUGGAACAAGCUCGAACAGUUAUAUGCUCGAAAGGCUAGUAACAAUAAAUUGUUUGUGAUCAAGAAGAUGAUUAGCUUGAAGUAUCAAGAUGGAACUCCUAUGAUAGAUCACUUGAAUACAUUCCAAGGUAUUAUUAAUCAGUUGGUUGGAAUGAAUAUCAAGUUUGAGAAAGAGGUGCAAGGGUUGUGGCUUCUUGGUACAUUGCCGGACUCGUGGGAGACGUUUAGACCUUCUUUGUCUAACUCAGCCCUAGAUGGUACUAUGAAUAUGGAUUUGGUUAAAAGUUGUGUUCUGAAUGAUGAGAUGAGAAGAAAUUCAUAGGGUUCUUCUUCACAGCCAGAUGUCCUAGUUACUAAAAAGAGGGAAAUGAGUAAGAGUAGAGGUCUGAAGAACAAAGAUAGAAGCAAAAGUAAGACUAACAAGUUUGCCAAUAUUGAGUGUCACUAUUGCCAUUUGAAAAGGCAUAUAAGGAAGUAUUGUCGCCAAUUGAAGAGAGAUAUGAAACAAGGGAAAGUGAAGGACAAGAACAAUGACAAUGGUGGUAAAGAUGACCGAGUUGCCACUAUCAUUUUAGAUUUCCUUAUUGUUUGAUUACUACCCAAAAAGUGUUAUUUUACACCUUUAAUUCAUUAUGUUUUAAGCACUUUUGUGUAGUAGUUCUCCAUCUUUAUCCCAAUUGGCAUGUUAAGGACCUAGCAAUGACUUCUAAUCAUAUUUGUGGCUAGUUUUAGUGUUUUGACAGCUUUUUGGAUCAUUAAAACAAGCCAAGUAAAGGAGAGAAGCAAAGAGGAAAAACAAGCAAAGAGAAAAUGAAGAAAACAGAGGACAGCAGCUGCAGUCUUCCUUUGCACUUUUGGAGAACUUUCUGAUGUCCAUUUUCUACAUGCUAUAUACCAUUUCAAAGCUCAGGAAGUCAAGAAUCCAACGCUUCAAACCGUGUACGAUUUGGAGCUGAAAUGAGGAAGAUAUGUCCUUCGGAAGACAACUGCUCCAGGCUUGUGCGAAAUUCGCACAACACCUUGAAAUUCGCACAACACCUUCAGCUUGUGCGAAGCUUGUGCGAAAUUCACACAACACCUUCCAAAUUCGCACAGCCCAUGCGUGGUGCGAAUUUUCCUCUAUUUUUGCCGACUCCACUUUAGAUCUUUUCCUAUGUAUUUUUUGAUGUAAUUUCCUUUCUUAUCCCUGUAACUAACCAAUCACAAGCUUUUGCUUUUGUAAAGACUAUAUAAGGGGUGGAAAUCACCUCUUGGAACUAACGAACAUGUGUUACGCUUUACACUUAGUGAAAUACAGAGCUCUCUCAUUUUUCCUUUUCUCUCUACUAUUUUCUUUUUCUUGGAAGCCAAACAACCUCUGAGAAUGUUUUCCCAGAGGAUGAGAGGCUAAACUUUUGGUUUCUUGGAGUGAAGGAAGCUAGGUGAAAAGUCCAGAUGCAAAGGUGGAAAACUCUCGUGCAUUAAAUACAGGUAGUUGUAGUUCAUAAAUGGCUUCUAAAUCCAAAGUUUUGCUUUAAAUCCCUUAGAAUCACUUUGAAUGGCCAAUACAUGGUAAGCUUCAGGUCUCUAUGGAUGCUUAUUGCUAGAUCCAUAUCAGUCCAUUAGUUAUCAUGUACGAGCCAUUGGAAAGUGACUCAAGGUGAAGACCCAUAGUGUCUAAAGCCAUUAAUGGACCUUGACUACCAUUUCUAUUGACUUUUUAUGGAUUAAAUCUUCAUUGUUAAACCUAUACCGGUUCGGGAAAUAACUAUAGGUUAAAUCCCCAAUGCGAGGAGAAAAAUCCGGAAUUUUCCACUUUGUAUUUUGAACUUGAUCCUAGCAACCCUUAGCUCCGGGAGACUUUCUUUCUUCCAUUUUUACUUAGUUUUAUGUUAGUUUAGUUUCAAACACCUUUCAAAACAAAUUUCAUUUUCUUUUAAACUUUAAGUUUUUGAUAAGGAAAUCAUUAAAUUCAAUUUCUAAUCUCGAGUAUAUCACUAGUAGAAUGAAAACGCAUCCCAGAGUUCGACCCUAGAGCCACUAUGCUAUAGUAGCUUUGCUACGCUAGUAUGAGGUCAUAGGUUUUAUAAAUGUUUUUUAUUAAAUGACCCGACUGGAGUUUCAUGCGAAUCAAAAUGGCGUCGUUGCCGGGGAUGGUGCCACAAUACAGUGAUACAACCUUUUAGAGGCUACUAGUGAUUUUCAUCACAAGUUUGGUGAAUUCCUUUUUCACUAACUUCAUUUCCUUUCUUUUAAUUGUAGAAUUCCUUUUGUUUUCUUUCUAACCUUAACUUUUUUCUAGUUUUCUUUUGUUUUUGUUGUCUUUGUUUUGUUUUCAGGUAAGUUGUAACUUGUGUAUGCCCUAUUGGAUUCGGGACCAAGAGGGAAGAUUAGUAAGGAUUGAGAAUCCUCAAGACACAGAGUUGGAUAUCUGUGUAAACAUCAUGGACCCUCCACAAGAGGAUCAUAAUUCUCAACAUGGUCAAGGGGAUAAUCCAAAUGCAUAUCUAUCCAUGAGGGAUAGAAUGCAUCCACCAAGGAUGAGUGCACCCUCAUGCAUUGUACCUCCUCUUGAGCAGCUGAUUAUAAGGCCCCAUAUUGUGCCCCUCCUACCAAAUUUCCAUAGAAUGGAGAGUGAGAAUCCAUAUGCCCACAUCAAGGAGUUUGAGGAGGUGUGCAAUACUUUUAGAGAGGGAGGAGCUUCAAUAGACUUGAUGAGACUCAAGCUAUUCCCUUUUACUUUGAAGGACAAGGCAAAAAUAUGGCUUAAUUCUUUAAGGCCAAGGAGCAUAAGGAAUUGGGUUGAUCUUCAAGCCGAAUUUUUGAAGAAAUUUUUCCCCACCCAUAGGACCAAUGGGUUGAAGAGACAAAUCUCAAACUUUUCUGCAAAAGAAAAUGAGAAGUUCCAUGAAUGUUGGGAAAGGUAUAUGGAGGCCAUCAAUGCUUGUCCUCAUCAUGGCUUUGAUACAUGGCUCUUGGUGAGCUAUUUUUAUGAUGGGAUGUCUUCCUCCAUGAAGCAAAUUCUUGAAACCAUGUGUGGGGGAGAUUUUAUGAGUAAGAAUCCAGAAGAGGCCAUGGACUUUUUAAGUUAUGUAUCUGAAGUAACAAGAGGAUGGGAUGAGCCCCACUCAAGGGAAAUGGGAAGGAUGAAAGGUCCUGUAAAUCCAAAGGGUGGUAUGUACAUGUUAAGUGAAGACAUGGACAUGAAAGCUAAGGUGGCAACAAUAGCAAGGAGGUUGGAAGAACUUGAGUUGAAAAAAAUGCAUGAAGUCCAAGCCAUUUCCGAGACACAAGCCCAUGUCAUGCCAUGCACCAUUUGCCAAUCAUGUGAUCAUGUGGUAGAUGAGUGCCCAACCAUGCCAACUGUGAGGGAGAUGUUAGGUGAUCAAGCCAAUGUUGUGGGGCAAUUUCGGCCUAACAACAAUGCACCUUAUGGAAACACCUAUAAUUCAAGCUGGAGAAACCAUCCAAAUUUUUCUUGGAAACCAAGACCACCUCCAUACCAACCACAAGCCCAAACCCAAGCACCUCAACAAACCUCUUCAGUAGAGCAAGCCAUUGCGAACCUAAGUAAAGUCAUGAAUGACUUUGUGGGUGAACAAAAGGCAAUCAACUCCUAAUUGCACCAAAAGAUUGAAAAUGUUGAGAGUUCUCAAAUUAAGAGAAUGGAGGGGAUGCAAAAUGAUCUAUAUCAGAAGAUAGAUAAUAUUCAAUACUCUAUCUCUAGGCUUACCAACCUCAACACAGUGAAUGAGAAAGGAAAGUUUCCCUCUCAACCAAGCCAAAAUCCAAAGGGUGUUCAUGAAGUUGAAACCCAAGAGUGGGAGUCUUCAAAGUUGAGGGAGGUCAAAGUUGUGAUCACUUUGAGGAGUGGGAAGGAGGUUGAUCAACCCUUGCCUAAGGUGAGGCAAGAUGAAGAACUCAUGUCAAAGAAAACCUUGGUUAAAGAGAGCAAUAACCAAGAAGAGAAGAGUGGGAAGAAAAGUGCAUCCAAAUCAAGCAUUGAAGAAGAGCCGAUGAUAGUGAUUAAAGAGGAUAUGAUGAAGAAACAUAUGCCUCCCCAUUUUCCUCAAGCUUUACAUGGAAAGAAGGAAAUCAAGAAUUCAUCAGAAAUUCUUGAAGUCUUGAGACAAGUGAAGGUGAAUAUACCCUUACUUGAUAUGAUCAAGCAAGUCCCCACAUAUGCGAAAUUUUUAAAGGACUUGUGCACAGUCAAGAGAGGGUUACAUGUGACAAAGAAUGCAUUCCUCACUGAGCAAGUGAGUGCUAUCAUUCAGAGUAAGUCUCCAGUUAAGUAUAAAGAUUCGGGAUGCCCCACCAUUUCAGUCAACAUUGGAGGGACACAUGUGGAGAAAGCUUUACUAGACUUAGGGGCAAGUGUGAAUUUGCUCCCAUACUCUGUGUACAAGCAACUGGGACUUGGAGGAUUGACGCCCACAGCCAUCACUCUCUCCUUAGCUGACAGGUCAGUCAAAAUCCCAAGGGGGGUGAUAAAGGAUGUUCUAGUUCAAGUGGACAAAUUCUAAUAUCCUGUGGAUUUUGUGGUGCUUGAUACCGAUCCCACUGUUAAGGAAGCAAAUUACGUGCCAAUCAUCCUUGGGAGACCUUUCCUGGCUACCUCCAAUGCCAUCAUCAAUUGUAGGAAUGGGGUGAUGCAGCUCACAUUUGGAAACAUGACCUUGGAAUUAAACAUAUUCCACCUAUGCAAGAGGCAUCUUCACCCAGAAGAGGAAGAAGGAUUGGAGGAGGUGUGCUUGAUCAACACCUUGGUUGAAGAGCAUUGUGACAAGAAUAUAGAAGAAAUCUUGAAUGAAAGCAUUGAAGUGCUUGAAGAAGGGUUACCUGAACCCUCUGAUGUGCUAGCCAUCAUCUCUCCUUGGAGGAGACGGGAAGAGAUCUUACCACUGUUCAAUAAGGAGGACUCACAUGGAGCAGCUGUGGAGGACCCUCCAAAGCUUGUUUUGAAGCCGCUUCUUGUUGAUUUGAAGUAUGCAUAUUUGAAGGAAGAUGAGAAAUGUCCAGUGGUGGUUUCUUCAACUCUCACUAGUGAUCAAGAGGAUAGUCUUUUGGGAGUCCUCAGAAAAUGCAAGAAAGCCAUUGGAUGGCAAAUUUCUGAUCUGAAAGGGAUUAGCCCUUUGGUGUGCACCCACCAUAUCUAUAUGGAGGAAGAUGCAAAACCAGUGAGGCAGCCCCAGAGGAGGUUGAAUCCUCACAUGCAAAAGGUGGUGAGGGGUGAAGUUCUGAAGCUACUUCAAGCAGGGAUCAUAUAUCCCAUUUCAGAUAGCUUGUGGGUGAGCCCCACUCAAGUAAUUCCAAAGAAAUCUGGAAUUACUGUGAUCCAGAAUGAGAAAGGGGAGGAAGUCUCUACACGUCCUACCUCAGGAUGGAGGGUGUGCAUAGACUACAGGAGGUUGAAUUCAGUGACUAGGAAGAACCAUUUCCCAUUGCCUUUCAUGGACCAAGUCCUUGAGAGAGUCUCAGGACAUCCUUUCUAUUGUUUUCUGGAUGGUUACUCGGGGUACUUCCAAAUAGAGAUUGAUUUGGAAGAUCAAGAAAAGACAACCUUCACUUGCCCCUUUGGUACUUUUGUGUAUAGGAGAAUGCCCUUUGGUUUAUGUAAUGCUCCUGCAACUUUCCAAAGAUGUAUGCUAAGCAUCUUCAAUGAUAUGGUGGAACGCAUCAUGGAAGUCUUCAUGGAUGACAUCACUGUAUAUGGAAGUUCUUAUGAGGAGUGUUUGUUGCAUUUAGAAGAUGUUCUCCAAAUAUGUAUUGAGAAAGACCUAGUGCUAAAUUGGGAGAAGUGCCAUUUUAUGGUACAACAAGGAAUUGUCUUAGGACAUAUAAUCUCCAAGAAUGGCAUUGAGGUAGAUAAGGCAAAGGUGGAGCUAAUUGUUAAGUUGCCACCUCCCACAAAUGUUAAAGGAAUUAGGCAAUUCCUAGGACAUGUCGGGUUCUAUAGGAGGUUCAUUAAGGAUUUUUCAAAAAUCUCAAAGCCUCUUUGUGAACUCUUGGUAAAGGAUGCCAAGUUUGUGUAGGAUGAGAAAUGUCAGAAGAGUUUUGAGGAACUGAAGCAAUUCCUCACAACUGCACCAAUAGUGAGAGCCCCAAAUUGGCAAUUACCUUUUGAGGUAAUGUGUAAUGCAAGUGAUCUUGCUAUGGGGGUUGUUUUGGGGCAAAGAGGAGAUGGAAAGCCCUAUGUGAUUUAUUAUGCGAGCAAAACUUUGAACGAGGCUCAAAGGAACUACACAACUACUGAGAAGGAGUUGUUGGCAGUAGUUUUUGCCUUGGAUAAGUUUCGCACCUAUUUGGUAGGGUCCUCUAUAGUGGUGUUCACUGACCAUUCCGCUUUGAAGUACUUGCUAACCAAGCAAGAUGCCAAGGCAAGAUUGAUAAGAUGGAUCAUUUUGCUCCAAGAAUUCAAUCUCCAAAUUCGGGAUAAAAAGGGAGUAGAAAAUGUGGUAGCUGACCACUUGUCAAGACUUGUGAUAGCACAUGACUCACAUGGUCUACCUAUCAAUGAUGACUUCCCUGAGGAGUCUCUCAUGUCAAUAGAGGUAGCUCCAUGGUAUUCUCACAUUGCAAAUUUUUUGGUUACUGGAGAAGUUCCAAGUGAGUGGAGUGCCCAAGACAAGAGGCAUUUCUUUGCUAAGAUCCAUGCCUAUUAUUGGGAGGAGCCUUUUCUCUUCAAAUAUUAUGCAGAUCAAAUCAUAAGGAAAUGUGUUCCUGAACAAGAGCAAUCAGGAAUUCUAUCCCAUUGUCAUGAUAGUGCAUGUGGAGGUCAUUUUGCCUCCCAGAAAACAACUAUGAAAGUGAUCCAAUCAGGUUUUUGGUGGCCCUCUCUUUUCAAGGAUGCCCACUCUAUGUGCAAGGGAUGUGAUCGGUGUCAAAGGCUUGGUAUGCUAACACGCCGAAAUAUGAUGCCCUUGAACCCCAUCUUGAUAGUGGAUGUCUUUGAUGUUUGGGGGAUAGACUUCAUGGGACCAUUUCCAAUGUCGUUUGGACAUUCCUACAUUUUGGUGGGAGUGGAUUAUGUCUCUAAGUGGGUAAAAGCAAUCCCAUGUAGGAGCAAUGAUCAUAAGGUGGUUCUUAAAUUCCUCAAGGACAACAUCUUUGCAAGAUUUGGAGUGCCUAAGGCCAUUAUCAGUGAUGGAGGAACCCACUUUUGCAAUAAGCCUUUUGAGACUCUUCUAGCCAAAUAUGAGGUUAAGCAUAAGGUAGCUACACCUUAUCACCCUCAAACAAGUGGCCAAGUUGAGUUAGCCAACCGGGAGAUCAAGAAUAUAUUGAUGAAGGUGGUGAAUGUGAAUAGGAAGGAUUGGUCUAUUAAGCUCCUGGAUUCCUUAUGGGCUUAUAGGACCGCUUACAAGACCAUUCUUGGAAUGUCUCCUUAUCACCUUGUUUAUGGCAAAGCGUGUCAUCUUCCAGUGGAGGUUGAAUAUAAAGCAUGGUGGGCAAUUAAGAAGCUCAACAUGGAUUUGACAAGAGCCGGGUUGAAGAGAUGUUUGGAUUUGAAUGAAUUGGAGGAAAUGAGGAAUGAUGCUUACCUCAAUUCAAAAAUUGCAAAAGAGAGGCUGAAGAAAUGGCAUGAUCAGUUGGUAAAUCAGAAGAAUUUUGCUAAGGGACAAAGAGUCUUGCUUUAUGACUCUAAGCUUCAUCUUUUUCCGGGAAAAUUGAAAUCAAGGUGGACGGGUCCUUUCAUAAUUCAUAAUGUGCAAUCAAAUGGAGUAGUGGAACUACUCAACUUCAAUAGCACUCGAACUUUCAAAGUGAAUGGGCAUCGUCUCAAGCCCUAUAUGGAAUCAUUUUCCCGAGACAAGGAGGAAUUCAUCCUCCUUGAUCCACCUCCAACAUGAAAACACUUGAUUCAUGGUUGAACUUAGUCUCUUCAAAGACUAAAGAGUUCAUCCUCUUUUUGUUUUCUUGUAAGUUGAUUUUAGUUUAAUCUAGUGUUUUUCUUGUGUUUUUGCAUGUUUUGAUUUUUAUUUUUGACUUUAAUGUCGUUCUAAUGUGGUUUGAAUUGGUUUUUUGUGUUAACAUGCAAGUAGGAAAGCUUGAAGAAUGAAGUCAUGGUGAAAACAAGGGAAAACAGGGGAGAAAAACCAAGACUCGGCAAUUUUCGCACAACACUUCCUGUUGUGCAAAAUUUUCGCACAACACAUCCCUUGUGCGAAUUCGUUUUUGUGACAAAAUUUCAAAACCAUGCUCUCUGUCUUGGAGAACCUCAGGAAUGCGAAAUUCACAUUUCCUCUUUAAAAGCCAUUUUCUCAUCUUCAAUUCUAAGCUUUUUCUUCUUCAUUUCUCUCAACACCUCUCUUCCGAUCACCCAUUCCCAUCCUUAAGCUCUUCUCCUUCAUCAUUCCCCAUCCUCAACACCACCAUGGCAGCCCAUCUCCAUAGCUCCACUCCAUAGCCGCGGCCUUCACUAUUCACCACAGUCCACACCUUCAAUUUUCAGCUCUUUCUCCUCUUUCCACCAUCAAAAACCCUUCAAUUCUUCACUCAACACUCUAAAUUCAUCCCUAAACCAAUCCCAACCUUGAUUUUACCAAACCAAAACCUCAAGCUAAGGAUUCAAGCCACGGUUUCUUCAUAAGAAACCCAUUGCCCCCGAGUAGAGGAGCCUCCAAAUUCCAAAUUCUCUUCUUGAAAAGCUCCAAUUUCCAAGCCUAGCCACCAUGAAAAAUCCUUUUCCUACCUUAGCCAGUAUUUCCCACCCUCAAAAGCCAAAAAAUUUCACCAUUUGAACGAGCCUCAAUUUUGCAAAAGGGCGGGUGAAUAGUGUCUUGUGCAAAAAAUUCGCACAACACCCCCUCUUGUGCGAAAUUUUUGCACAACACCCCCCUUGUGCGAAUUUUUCAGUUUCUCCAUCCCUACCCUCCCCAAUCCCAAGCCUCUGAGCCUCAUUUUAUCGCUUCUUCAUGCCUAAGACCCGAGGAGGAUAUACCUCAGCUCCCAGAGCAGUCAGAGAGCUACCCCUGUGCGGGCCCCACUAGAUGCACCUCCACAUUUACCUGAUUCUGCCCCUCAGAGCAGAUACCAUACGAGGAGAGCAUCUGCCACGCCUGUAGCCCCUACUCAAAUUUCACCUCAAAGUCCUCAUACAAAGAAAGCCAAGACUUCAGAGCCAGGAGAGUCAUCCAGAGCAUCUCGGGAUUCACAGUCUCAGCCUCCUUCCACCAGGCGCUCUAGAGCCAGCUCGCCCAUUGAGGGCAACUCCGAUUGCCGAUCCAGAGCAUUUCAUGUCGAGGCAUGUUUUGAUCACUCUAUUUUGGGAUAACAGCCCGAGUUGCAGGAUUCAUACAGCCUACUUGAGAGGUACCAUCUUGUACCCUUUAUGACUCCGCCCUAGUUCUUUUAUCCUCGAGUAGCUUUAGACUUUUACCAGUCUAUGACUACUCGUGGCGUCCCGGUACCAGCCUCGAUACUUUUUACCAUUGAUGGACGCCAGGGUAUUUUGGGGGCUAGACAGAUUGCCGAUGCUUUCCAUAUCCCUUAUGCACUAGCAGAUCCUACUGCAUUUAGACGUUGGGCCCCAUUUUCUGAGUGGGACAUGGUUCGUAUCCUAUCUCGAGGGACAUCUUCCCAGAUGACCAUUUUGAGGAGGGAGCUUCCCCCUGGGAUGCUCCUAGUUGAUGUGGUUCUUCGCGCCAAUCUUUUUCCUCUUCAGCAUAGAGUACAGAGGCGAGGGGCUAUUCUAGAGGCAUUAUUCCGUAUCUCUGAGGGCUACUACUUUGGCCCCCAUCAUUUGAUUAUGGCCGCUCUCCUCCAUUUUGAGGAGAAGGUGCAUACGCGGCGUCUUGCGAGGGCAGACACUAUUCAUUUACUUUUCCCUCGGCUGCUAUGCCAUGUUCUGGCGCAUAUGGGUUUUCCUGUAGACCCUCAUUCUAAGCCCCGCCGCCAUUGUCGAGAGAGUUUCUCUCUUGACCAAUGGAAUCAGGUAUGGCUCCAUCAGCAUUCCCCAGAACUUCCCGAGCCAAGGGAAGUCCCUCCUACUCCGUCCACUUCAGCUCCCUCGGAGCCUGUACUAGAGGCAGCAUCGUCUGACGCUCCACCUGCUAUUCCUCCUACCUUAGAGUCGCCCAUUACUAUCCCUGGUGCAGAGUACUGUGCCUUGCUCGCCUCUUUCCAGACUCUGACCACUACUCAGACGGCCAUAUUGGAGCGGAUGGACCACUUCCAGCGUCAACAGGACCAGCAGACUCUCAUUCUCCGUGAGAUUCAGCAGCACCUCGGUCUUUUUCCACCAGCUCCACCUGUAGCGGUGCCUUCCUCAGUUCCAGCAGAGGACCCCUCCUAUCCACCAGAGGAGCCUACUACUUGAUCAUAUGAUCAUUCCUCUCCUUUUUUGUAUCUAUAUUCUCCGUUUUUGGAUGUCUUAUAUAUUUUGGACUACUUUUAUACUGGGAUUGGAUGUAUUCCAUGUUUCUCUUGUAUAUUGUACUCUCUCAGUUUAUAUGGACAUCUUCCUUUUUGUGUAUUUUAGCUAUUCCUUUUUAUUUCCUCUAAUCAUCACUCUUAUGAUUUUUCUUUUCUUAUGCAACAUGUGGUUUCUCAUGUUCAUUCAGAGUCCUUACUAUCAAGAGGUAUCACUUCCUCUCUUUUAUUAUCACUAGCUUUUGGAACAUUGGGGACAAUGUUCAUCCUAGUGGGGGGGGAGAGUUGAGGAAGUAAUUUGUUGAAUUUUUGGUUAAGUUAUUUUGCCAACAAAAUUUUUUUGCAAACUCUCUUGAUUUCUCAAAGAUAAUUUCUCAAAAGUAAAUGGGAGAAAUUAAAUUCUUAUCUUAUUGCCAUAGUCUUAGAGUUUGUAUUAUGCUUAUUAAAGUUGAUAAAUUGUUGAAGCUCCUUUUGAUUUCAAUCUUAAGUCUUCCACUCUAAUCUUUUCACACACUGAACACAUUAGAUUUCAGUUAUAAGAUGGAAAACUUUCUCACCCCCUAAACUUAGGAAAUUUUCGACUUGGUACCAUUGACCUCAUUCUAUUAGUGUUGGGACACCUUAUAAAAGGCCAAUGUGUCUUAUAAAAAUUUUUUUUGCUUCACUUGCUUUGAAACCCAAGCAAGGUCCGAGGGGUAUAGGGUGAAAAUCUUUAAAACCUGGUGUCCUAAGCCUUUACUGGUUGGGAGUCACCGACCUCACUGCUCGUUACAUGGGUGGAUAGGUGGAGUAUAUACAUCUUAAAAAAAAAAAAAAAGAGGUGCAUUCUUAGCCUUCUAUAUAUGAGUUAGUGUUGCUAAAGUUAGAGAAAAACCUUAGUUGGGGGGAGAAUAUAGUUUGACAUACUAUAACUGGAAACUAAGCAUCUUAACACUAAGAUUUUUGUGGAAGAUUAAGAGUUGACCCUUUGGGAGUGGAAAUUAUUUUGAUACUCAAAUUUGCAUAAUGCCCGCUCUUUGCAUGUUGUGAUAGGUAAGUUAUUUGAUGACUCUUGUUGAUGAUUGAGUUUUAUAUUCUUGACUUGCCAUGUGAGAGUUUGAUCCAAUCAUGCCACUUGAUUAUUUUUUGGAGUGAUCAGCAUGAUUUUGUAAAUUAUUAUAUUAUCUAUUUAUUUUUCUUUCUUUUUCUCUCCUUCAUUGCUCAGGGACUAGCAAUGUGCCAAUUGGGGGGAGUGAUUACUACCCAAAAAGUGCUAUUUUACACCUUUAAUUCAUUAUGUUUUAAGCACUUUUGUGUAGUAGUUCUCCAUCUUUAUUCCAAUUGGCAUGUUAAGGACCUAGCAAUGACUUCUAAUCAUAUUUGUGGCUAGUUUUAGUGUUUUGACAGCUUUUUGGAUCAUUAAAACAAGCCAAGUAAAGGAGAGAAGCAAAGAGGAAAAACAAGCAAAGAGAAAAUGAAGAAAACAGAUGACAGCAGCUGCAGUCUUCCUUCGCACUUUUGGAGCACUUUCUGAAGUCAAUUUUCUAUAUACUAUAUACCAUUUCAAAGCUCAAGAAGUCAAGAAUCCAACGCUUUAAACCGUGUACAAUUUGGAGCUGAAAUGAGGAAGAUAUGGCCUUCAGAAGACAACUGCUCCAGGCUUGUGCGAAAUUCACACAACACCUUGAAAUUCGCACAACACCUUCAGCUUGUGCGAAGCUUGUGCGAAAUUCGCACAACACCUUCCAAAUUCGCACAGCCCAUGCGUGGUGUGAAUUUUCCUCUAUUUUUUCCGACUCCACUUUAGAUCUUUUCCUAUGUAUUUUUUGAUGUAAUUUCCUUUCUUAUCCCUGUAACUAACCAAUCACAAGCUUUUGCUUUUGUAAAGACUAUAUAAGGGGUGGAAAUCACCUCUUGGAACUAACGAACAUGUGUUACGCUUUACACUUAGUGAAAUACAGAGCUCUCUCGUUUUUCCUUUUCUCUCUACUAUUUUCUUUUUCUUGGAAGCCAAACAACCUCUGAGGAUGUUUUCCCAGAGGAUGAGAGGCUAAAAUUUUGGUUUCUUGGAGUGAAGGAAGCUAGGUGAAAAGUCCAAAUGCAAAGGUGGAAAACUCUCGUGCAUUAAAUACAGGUAGUUGGAGUUCAUAAAUGGCUUCUAAAUCCAAAGUUUUGCUUUAAAUCCCUUAGAAUCACUUUGAAUGGCCAAUACAUGGUAAGCUUCAGGUCUCUGUGGAUGCUUAUUGCUAGAUCCAUAUCAGUCCAUUAGUUAUCAUGUACGAGCCAUUGGAAAGUGACUCAAGGUGAAGACCCAUAGUGUCUAAAGCCAUUAAUGGACCUUGACUACCAUUUCUAUUGACUUUUUAUGGAUUAAAUCUUCAUUGUUAAACCUAUACCGGUUCGGGAAAUAACUAUAGGUUAAAUCCCCAAUGCGAGGAGAAAAAUCCGGAAUUUUCCACUUUGUAUUCUGAACUUGAUCCUAGCAACCCUUAGCUCCGGGAGACUUUCUUUCUUCCAUUUUUACUUAGUUUUAUGUUAGUUUAGUUUCAAACACCUUUCAAAACAAAUUUCAUUUUCUUUUAAACUUUAAGUUUUUGAUAAAGGAAAUCAUUAAAUUCAAUUUCUAAUCUCGAGUAUAUCACUGGUAGAAUGAAAACACAUCCCAGAGUUCGACCCUAGAGCCACUAUGCUAUAGUAGCUUUGCUACGCUAGUAUGAGGUCAUAGGUUUUAUAAAUGUUUUUGAUUAAAUGACCCGACUGGAGUUUCAUGCGAAUCAUUGUUUAUGAUAGUGAUGUUGUUAAUUUUGCUUGCAAGGAGACUAGUUGGGUGAUUGAUAGCGGUGCCUCAAUCCAUGCUACACCUCGAAAAGACUUCUUUACAUCCUACACAUCUGGUGAUUUUGGAAGUGUUAGGAUGGGUAAUGAUGGCUCAGCUAAAGCCAUUAGUAUGGGAUAUGUGCGUUUGGAGACUAGUAAUGGUACUAUGUUGAUUUUGAAGAAUGUCAAACACAUUCCAGAUAUCCGCAUGAAUUUAAUCUCCACAGGUAAGCUUGAUGAUGAAGGGUUCUGCAACACCUUUCGUGACAGUUAGUGGAAGCUCACCAGAGGUUCUAUGGUGAUAGGAAAAGGAAAGAAGUGUUCCUCAUUGUAUUUGAUGCAAGCAAGGGUAAUUGAUUCCAGUAUCAAUGUAGUGGAUUAUGAUAGCACGGUUGAGCUUUGGCACAAAAGACUUGGUAAUAUGAGUGAGAAGGGCUUGAUGCUUUUGGCUAAGAGAAAUCUUCUUUCUAGUUUGAAGAAGAGAUCUUUGAAGUGUGCUCAUUGCUUAGCAGGAAAGCAGACCAGAGUUGCAUUCAAAACACACCGUCAUACAAGGAAGCUAAGUAUGCUUAAUUUAAUGUAUUCUGAUGUGUGUGGUCCUAUGAAAACAAAAACACUUGGUAAAUCUCUAUAUUUUGUGACUUUUAUAGAUGAUCAUUCAAGAAAGAUUUGGGUGUAUACCUUAAAAACAAAAGACCAAGUGUUAGAGGUGUUUAAGCAGUUUCAUGCUCUUGUUGAGAGACAAUCUGGCAAAAAAUUGAAAUGCAUUCAAACUGAUAAUGGGGGUGAGUAUUCUGGUCCUUUUGAUGAGUAUUGUAGACAACAUGGUAUUCGACAUCAAAAGACACCUCCUAAGACUCCUCAGUUGAAUGGGUUGGUUGAGAGAAUGAAUAGGACACUAGUUGAAAGGGUGAGAUGUUUACUUUCGCAGUCACAGUUGCCAAGAUCCUUUUAGGGUGAGGCUUUGAAUACUAUUGUACAUGCUCUCAAUCUUACACCAUGUGUUCCUUUAGAAUUUGAUGUUCUGGAUAGAAUUUGGUCAGAUAAGGAAAUCUCUUAUGAUCACUUGUGUGUCUUUGGAUGCAAGGCUUUUGUGCAUAUUCCGAAAAAUGAGAGGUCUAAGCUUAAUGCUAAGACAAGACCUUGUGUAUUCAUUGGCUAUGGUUAGGAUGAGCUUGGUUACAGGUUUUAUGAUCCGGUGCAGAAAAAACUUGUAAAAAGUCGAGAUGCUAUGUUCAUGGAAGAUCACCAUACGAGACAUUGAGAAGACUGCUACAACAGAGUUUCAUAGUGAUAAUCUGAUUGACUUAGUUCCAGUUCCUUUGACACAUCUUCCUACACAGGUUGAAGAUGAAGCACAUGAUGACCAACAUGACAUUGGUGAUGUUGAAAUUCCCACACAGGUUGAGAUGGAUGAUGAUGUUCAUGAGCAGUCACCUAUAGCAGAGGUUCCACCAAAUAUUCCACUUAGGAGGUCUACUAGAGACCGACAUCCUUCUACACGGUUUUCUAUUGAUGAUUAUGUAUUACUAACUGACGGGAAGGAACCUGAAAGUUUUGAGGAAGCCAUAGGAGAUGAAAAUAAGAUGAAGUGGGUUGAUGCUAUGCAAGAUAAGAUGAAGUCAUUGCAUGAGAAUCAUUCUUUUGAGUUUGUCAAGUUGCCAAAGGGAAAAAUAGCUUUGAAGAACAGGUGGGUUUACAGAGUGAAGCAAGAAGAACACACUUCACAGCCACGUUACAAAGCUAGAUUGGUUGUCAAAGGGUUCAGUCAAAAGAAAGGUGUUGAUUUUGAUGAGAUUUUUUCUCCUGUUGUUAAGAUAUCGUCUAUUCGUGAAGUUUUGGGCUUGGCAACUAGUCUUGAUUUGGAGAUUGAGCAAAUGGAUGUUAAGACUACAUUUCUCCAUGGUGAUUUAGACAAAGAAAUUUAUAUGGAAUAGUCAAAGGGUUUCACAGUAAAAGAAAAAGAAGAUUCUGUGUGUAAGUUGAAGAAAAGUCUUUAUGGCUUGAAGCAGGCACCGAGGCAGUGGUAUAAGAAGUUUGAAUCAGUUAUGGGGGAGCAAGGCUACCGAAAAACUACUUUUGACCAUUGUGUAUUUGUGCAGAAAUUCUCUGAUGAUGAUUUUGUUAUAUUGUUACUCUAUGUUGAUGAUAUCUUGAUUGUUGACAUAAAUGUUUCAAGAAUGGAUAAGCUGAAGAAGCAAUUAAGCAAAUCCUUUUCCAUGAAGGAUUUGGGGUCAGCAAAGAAAAUUCUUGGUAUUAGAAUUAAGAAAGAUAGAGCAUCCAAGAAGCUGCAUAUGUCACAGGAGCAAAAUAUUGAAAAGGUACUUAAAAGAUUUAACAUGAGCAAAACUAAAGUGGUUAGUUCUCCUCUAGCUAGUCACCUUAAGCUAAGCAGCAGACAUAGCCCUUCUAUAAAUAAGGAGAAGGAAGACGUGAGAAGAGUUACGUAUGCCUCAAUAGUAGGAAGUUUGAUGUAUGUCAUGGUAUGUACUAGACCAGACAUAGCUUAUGUAGUUGAUGUUGUUAGCCACAUUCUAUCUAAUCCAGGAAGACUACAUUGGGAGGCAGUCAAGUGGAUUAUGAGAUAUUUGCAAUGCACUUCCAAGUUGAAACUCACUUUUAGAAGUGGGAAACCAGUACUUGUUGGCUACACUGAUUCAAACAUGGCAGGGGAUGUAGAUAAUAGAAGGUCCACUUCAGGCUAUUUGAUGACAUUCUCAGGAGGUGUUGUGUCUUGGUAAUCAAGACUACAGAAAUAUGUUGCACUUUCUACAAUAGAGGCGGAGUACAUUGCAGCAGCAGAAGCAUGUAAAGAGUUGUUGUGGAUGAAGCGUUUCAUACAUGAGCUCGGGUUUAAGCAGUAGCGCUAUGUGGUAUAUUGUGAUAGCCAGAGCGCCAUUCACCUUAGUAAGAAUUCUACCUUUCCUGCAAGAUCGAAGUACAUUGAUGUGAGGUAUCAUUGGAUGAGAGAUGCUCUCAAUGACAACUUGUUUGAAUUUGAGAAGAUACAUACCAAUCACAAUGGCUCAGAUAUGUUAACAAAGUCCUUACCAAGGGAGAAGCUUGAAGUUUGUUGUUCAAUCGCCGGGAUGGCGAGCCCUUCCACAUAAUCGGAAAUAGGGAGAUUUGUUGGGUUUUUCCUCAUGUGGAAGGCUCAAAUUAAGAGCCCAAAACUAAAGGCCUCUUAGGCCUUUAUAUAAAAGGGUUAGAAGAAGAAUCCCUCUUCUUCUACUUCUUCUUCUUCCAAUUUUUUUUGCAGCCACUAGAAGUAGACGAAAAAGAGAGUAAAAGGAGAAAAAAAAAAAGAGAAGGGGAUAACCACCCUUUUUGAAGUUAGAAAGAAAAACUCAGUUUUUCUUCAUUGUCCAGAUUUCAUCAAAGUUCCGAUCCGACUUCGUCUGUGGUCCAAUCAACCUGAAAUUUGGAGAAGAGGUUUGUGACUCAUUGAUCUUCAAUCUGAACGGUGAAGAUCGGAUUUGAAGUUCCAGACAAUCAUUUUUUAGUCCGAGAAUAGAGCCUCUAUUUUGGUGAGUUUUCUAUCCGGACAGUUUUGAUCAUGAGCUCCGAUCAAGGUUAAUAUGUGGUUCGAUUAAGCUAAGUUUUGGUGAGCACGUUCAAAACUCAUUGAUAUUCAUUCUAAAUGGUGGAGGUUGUAUUUGGAGUUCAGAACAGUUAAAUUUUAGUCUGAGAACAGUGGUUGUGAUUGGUAAGAUUUCUCCAUUGUCUUUAUGCAAAGUUGUUGAAAUUGCCAAGAUUAAUUUGUUUUGAGAUAUGGUUUAUGUAUGCCUCUAGUUUUAUCUAGAGAGAAUUGUGUAACCCAUUGAUUAUAUUAGUGGUUUUUUUAAGUGGCCUAAGGGUCCCGUGGUUUUUACUUCUCACAUUGGAGAAGGUUUUCCAUGCUAAAAAUUGUUGGUGUUCAUAUACUUGUUGAUUGGGUGAAUUCUUGUUGCUCUAUUUGAUUGAUUCCUAUUAGUUUCUCACAAGAGGGGAUAAAAUCUGGUUGUGCAUUGUUUGUGUUUAUCCCAUCAAGCCAUGGCCAUGUUUCAGUGAAACACAAUGACCAGAAGGGAGAUUUUCUAUUUUCCAAACUGCGGGUGAAGUUGUGUAUAUUGUAUUUGUGGGUCAUGUUUCUUGUAUUUUAAUACAUCUUUCGCACAUCACUGGUUUAGACCAUGUGAAGAUUGUCUUGUCCUGUUAAUUUAUUUUGCAUAAUUUUUUAAUUCAUUUGGAGAAUAUGAUUUUAUUUGGAAGAAAGACUAUUAUGAAUUUGCUUAAGAAUUACGGGUCUUCUAUGAUACUAUCUAUAUUUUUUUAAUCAACUUUCCGUACUUCAUUUGGAUACCUACUAAAUUUAUAGAAGAGUGAAUUGAAGAGGGAAUAAAAGCUUUUCAAUUUCAAUUGGAUUCUCCUUGAAGAUUUUGAAUGAGUCUUCCCAAAAGGUUCAAAAGUCCCCUAAUUAAAUGGCUUUAAUUGAGAGGCUUAAUUACAAGAAGAUGAAAUCACAUCUCACGCAUCCUUUGAUACUUGAUGGUAAUAGAUCAUUUGUGUGUAUUAAUUGAAACAUGUAGACAUACAAAUGAAAUAGCUAGAUUGUUGCAAAAAAGUACGACUAUAAGACCAGGGUGGAUCCAAAGAAGAAUUUCUUUAUUACCACUAGACAAUAAAUGUUUUUUGUUCAACUUUUGUCCCCCCUUAAAUAAAGAGUUACAUGUUGCUCCCCCGGGCCAUUUGCAACUUUUGUCCCCCCUAAAUAAAGAGUUACAUGUUGCCCCACUCAAGCUAUUUGCUGGCUCUGCCACUGAUCAUUUAGGGUCUUAUGAUUAAUGAAGUGCAUUCAUACAAUACCUCUCUUAUUAUAAAUGUAAGAUUUUGCAAAAUACAAAUAACCAGCCAAUCCUAAUAGACCGAGCCCAACAAGAAGCCAAUAAAAGUAAUCAAGAUGUGCUUUAUUGAGGUUAUCAUUGAACCAGCUAUCAUGGCCAUCUCCACCAGUUACUUUAUCAGUGGCAGAGAUGAGAAAGCUGCUCAGGAAGCUCCCUAACCCAAAAAUACUGAGGUUGAGGGCAAUACCAACACUCCUUAAUUCAUUUGGGGCCUGAUCAUAGAAAAAUUCUUGAAAACCUACCAUGGCUAACGCAUCCCCAACUCCAGACAAUACAUAUUGAGGAACCAACCACCACACGCUCAUUGGAAUGGUCACAUUUGGUGUAUCAACCAGGCCGUGUUCUUCAGCUUUCUUGAGCCGUUUCACCUCUAUUAAUGCUGCAAUUACCAUUGAAAUGAUGUAUAAAAACAUCCCCGUUCCAAUUCUCUGAAGCAUUGAUAAGCCAGAAGGUUUCCUGGUUAAAUGUCUUGCAAUAGGAACCAAAAUGCGGUCAUAUAUGGGAAUGAAGAUGACAAUGGUGGUGGUAUUCAAGGAUUGAAGUGAAGCAGCCGGUAUGUCAAAACCCAAGCCAGUUGAUCUAUCCAUAGUAAUUCCUUGCUUGGUAAAGAAAGUGGAUAAUUGUGCUGGCAAGAUACCAAACACCAAACUAGUAAUCCAUAUGGGAAACAGCUUUAGAACUGCCUUCGCUUCUUCAAC